AGGGGCUGUGGGUCGGAGAACCGGGGCUCCCCGGGCCUCGGGGCCCUGCGGACGGAGCGGCGGCGCCCGCCGGGGACCCGCGCGCCCUAGCCGGCCGCGGCGCGCGCGCUGAGUCUGCGUGGGCUCGGGCGCGGGUUGCUUGGCAGGCGCUCGCGGGAAGCGCGCCUCUCGUGGGCCCCCUCUUUGUUGGGGUGCGGCGGGGGAGCCUGGGUGCCCCCUGGGCGUCCCCUGGGCCGCCCGGACCGGCAGCUUCUGCGCAGCGCGGGGGAAACGCUCGGAAAAGGCGGGAUCCCGGGAGUGGAGACUUCGCUCUUGCACCCGGGCCGACUGGCCGGCAUCCGGAUCCAGGCGCGGGGCUUGGGCGCGAAGAGCCUUGGGCGCAGCGCCGCCAGGGGCUCCCUCCUAGAGCCUGGCUGCGCAGGGAUUGCGGGGGAGAAUCCGCCAAAGAUCCCCGAAGUGUGUGUGUGUGUGUGUGUGUGUGUGUGUGUGUGUGAAUUUUUCCUUCCCUUUCCCCCCGAUGCGCUCGGAAUGCGCACUGGCCGGGGGCAGGGAGGGGGCCCGGGAGGCGGAAGCUGGAGGUUUUUAUUUUCCUCUUUUAAUUGCGAGGAGAGCAGACGGCCUCCCCCAGUCCUUCUAGUCCUGGCGCUCUUGGAGGUGGGGAGGACGCUCCCUCCUCCUGCGCCUCCCGGUGGGCGCAGGGGGCCAGAAAGUUGGAUGGAAGGCCGGGUCACGGCAGGCUGGCCGAGCUAGCUGCCCGAGUUGCCUGCCCCCGGAGGUGGGAGCCCUGGGUCCGGAGGCUGGCGGCGCCGCCGGAGGCACGCGCGCGGUCACCUGGAGCCGGUUCUCCGGCGCCGCCCGAGCCCGCCGGGGACGCGGGGAAGCCGGAGACUCGCGCCCCGGGCCGCUCGAGCGCUCGCGCCGGCCCCCGGCCGCCCGCGGACGCUCCUGGCUCACAGCCCCGGGACGUGGGGCGCGGGGGAGCUUGUCCGCAGGGCCGGGAGGCCCCCUCCGGGUCCAGGGCAGGUCGCAGCUCUCCUUUCUCCCGGGCAGCAGUCGGCCCCGCUGGGCCCACUUUGCUCUGCGUCUCCGGGACCGAGGCCAGCUUCCAGCGGUGGGCUGGUCUCCGCGCUCUUCUUGGAGGAGGGAAACAGCCUCGAUUAUACCGAAAACCCCAGCUUCCCCCCACCCCCCACCCUCCCCUGGGCUGGAGUGGAAGUUGGGAGGCCAAGGAAAGAGUUCGCGGUCGCUGCGCGCGUGGGGAGAAGCGCUGGCCGGCGCCUUAGUUUUUCCUCGCUCCCCGUAGCCCUCUCCGCCGGCCUUUGUUGCUUUGGCACCGGAGGGCUUCCCCCGCCUGGAGGAAGGUCCUCUCCGCUGCAGACAGGGAGAUCUCCCUACUAGCGGUCCACCGGCUGAAAAACGGGGAGAGAGUACCCCCCCACACACACACCCCCCUGCUGUCCCAGGAAAGACAGUCACACCCAGGUAGCCCCAGACCUGACAGCAGCGUCUGGCCCAAGUGGAGACAUCUCUCAAAGUUUGGCUUUAAAAAAACACAUCUCCUGCAGAUGGGUGAUGGGAUGGGAAACUCAUUUUUUCUCUGACAUGCCACUUACCACUAUUAGGAAAAAAGACAAGAGAACCAUCCUGCCAGAGGAGAUGCCUUUUAUUAAAGCUGACAAGACAAAUAGGGCGAGCUUUCCAGUUGUGAUGGUGUUAAAAGCAAGUCUCAUUAUGUUGGUUGGUUUUAUUCCCCUUUGGGCUUUAUUAGACAGCAUAUUCGAAAGAGAGGAAUUUAUAUUUUAAACUUUAGUGCCUUAUUAAAUAAAACAGCAGUGAAAUUGGUUCGUUGAAUUUGGGACAUUUUGCUCUUGCUUGUCUUUUCUUUUCCCCACCCCAAACUUCACAGGGUUAUCUUUUUUUUCCUCAUGGUAUUCAUUUAUUGGAAUACUUGGGAGUUCCACUCGUCCUGGAAGCAUCAGCAACGUCCCCAGUCUACCCCUCCUUCUUAACCUGUCAAGCUAGUCUGAGUUAGUUUGAGGACAUUUUAUCUUAGGUUAUCUCUGUUUUAUGCUUUUGAUACUGUUGUUUGGUUUGAGAUUAGCACAUUGAUUUUUGUCACAGGUCAUGUUUUUUAAUAGAUCUGCCCUGCCUGCGGAAAACUCUCUUGUUCAGGAUGCCAUGGUGUCUUUGAAGCUGCCCAAAGUUAAUCUGUAGAAUUUUAAAAUACCAAGAGUAUUCUCCGAGUCAGUGUUCUAAUUUGAAGCUUGUGGAAAUACUGUUUAUUUCAUCAUUAUCAAUUUGAUAAUGUUUAAAAGGAAGAAUGAUGUACCCCCACCCAAGAGAUUCAACUGUAAUUUUAGUAUUCUUAGAGAUUUGUGACUGUGUUUCUCUUUAUGUGUUACUGCAGUAAAACUUUUAAAAAGUAAUAUUUUAAUGCUAGGUACCGGUAGGCAGAUUUAUCUUAGAAAUGUUGGUGCUUUUUUGAUGAAUUAAGAAAAGUCAGCUUGGAUGUAAUUUAAAAGGAGCCAAAUGCAAACUAAGUAAUUUAGAAACAAACAGCUUAUCACAGAAGAUAGUGAAAAACGAGUUUAGAAAAUUUGAAGAGGUCUACUAAUUUAAAUUUUUUGUUUUACAUUUUCUUUUUAUCUAUUGUUUUUAUGUAAAGUAAGCUAGCCUUGCGUUUUGAUUUUACAUGAAUCAUGUCUUUUAAGAUUUUACUAAAUGAAUAAUAUUAUCAGAAGACUUCAGUCUUGUGGAAAAAAGUAGAGAACUUUAAUUGCAACUUAAACAGACUUAAGAGAUUUUUAUCCUGGAAGAAAAGUUAAGUGGGCACAUUAAGAUGGUAACAAGUGGAUAUUAUGGCAAAAUGAAGUAAAUGAAGUAUUUUAGCUUAUACCUAUGGACUUCAGUUUGAAAGUAAGUUUAGAAUGAAAUUAAAGUUAAGUAUUAUAUCUUGAUCACAAGGUUUAAAUAUCUUACAUGUAACUUGUGCAGUCAUAGUUUAUGUGCUGUGUUGGGUUUCACUAUUGAGAACUUUGAUAACAGAAGUACAUCCAUAGAUCUAAGUUCACAGAGAAAAAAAAAAAGAAAGGACAAUUUAUUUGUUGUCGGAUAGUUUUACUCUUAGACUCGGUCUUCCCAGGUAUUCACUUCUGGGAAAUAAAGGUUCACUUUUUAAAUGCUAAUAACUUCUUAAAUUUCCAGUGUUUAUUGGGUGGUGGGCAACACUGAUUUUAUGUGUUGACUCGCUACAGAUCUCUAAAAUAGCAACUGGGACCUAUCAAUCUGGGCAGAAAUAUAUGAUCAGAUUUUUGUAAGUGCAUCUUUUAUAUUUUAAACAUUUGAAGAGUUGUAUGAGUUUCACCUAAAUAGUAAGAGUGAUAUUAAGAUCCAUUCAAUGUUAUGCUCUAUUCUGAACUGGCCUGUUAGAGUUUGAGUAAUUAAGAACCAAGUCAAGGAGAAUAUAGCUAUUUGUCCUUAAUUUAAUAAUGUAAAAUGCUUUUAAGUAACUUUUAAAAAAGUUUUUCAGCAAUAGAACUUUCUUUAUAUUCUCCCCUAGUAGCUACGCUAAUAACCGUAGAGAUGGCUUAGUAUUAAGAAUAUGCCUCUUAAUCUGAAACAUGCUAUAAACAGUUUGAUUCUUUCAAAGAAAAUAUUCAAACUGUGUCUACUGAAAAAUUCUUGGAUUCAUUUGCCCAUUUACCAAAAUGAUGCUGGGAUAAUUAAACCUAUCUCCUACUGGUUUGCAUUAAUUGAUGGAAUGGUAAAAUAAUACAAUGUGAAAUAUAACCAUACUUCAAAAGUACUGAUUCUCUUCACUUAGUUCUUUGCUUCUGUUAAGGUUUGAGAAUCACCAAUUUAAAAUGUUAUUCUCUUAUGGGAAAAGAUAUCUCUAUAGUUCAUCUGGGAUUUUAUAAAUUUCAACCUAAUGGUAUGUUUUCUUUGGACUUGUAAAUUAAACAUUUCAUGUUAGAGUAGCAGGUAAUUGACACCAUUUAGUUUUGCUAACAUGUAAUCUUGAGUUGUGAAAGUGAUAGGAAUUCUAGAUGAACACUUGGGAAUCUUUCAGGCAGUGUGUAUGUGACUAAGCUGAGAGAUGUAGUAACAUUUUCCCCUAAUCAUAGCCCUUGCAUAUUAUUUUCUCUUUCAGAAUUCACUUGUUUCAUUUUAACAAGUCCAAGCUCUCAGUGUCAUAUAUAUAUACACCGUUAUACCAAUACUGUGCCUUUUUCACUGACAAACAAAUAUCAGUACGGUCUAAAUGUAAGAAUCUGUUUUGAGGGAAUAUGGAAAGUUGAUCUUGGUUUUGAAAGACCCUAUCACCAACCUUAAUAACUCUAGUUUUAGAAUUUUAAAUCUUUUAAAUAGUGUUUCAUAUAUUAGAAACAAAAGUUCUUCAAGUAAAAGACAUUACUUAAGAGUCUUUUAACUUUAUUAACGCCGAACCUCAGUGUAACAUUUUAUUAGAUACAGUGGGGUAAUUUUGUUAUUUUGGUGUUUAUAUCAGAGUUUUAUAACCAUCUGCUUUAAAAAUAAAGCCUGUGUGAUGGAAAUUUUUAUCCUGUAUUUUCACCCUUAUCCAUUUGUAGGAAACGUGAAGUGACUUUCCCCGCCUCUUACCCUUUCUUUAUCUAGAAUUUUGUCGAAGAAAAGUGUGCUGCUUAUUUUGGGCCAGUGUUCCAGAGAAUUUUGAAAGCAAAACAAGCCAUUGGGAUGUUCGGUUCCACUGAUUUUAUGCAUUGUGUUCUGUAUUAGUAGUAAGCCAUCAGAAACAGUCAACUGUCUUUUCCUUAAGAGACUGGAACAUCAGUGCUGUUUGAGGCACACUUGAUGUACAGUCUAGUUUGGCGUUUCCAGUGUGAGACCGAGGUCAAUAAACUUUUCAUGAUGAAAAGAAUCAGAGAGAGCCUUCAGUCAGUCGUUACUCCCCUUUCGUUGAUUUCAGCCGUGUUAGCUAAGCCAUUGGCUCACCAAAGGAGCAUCUCGUCGCCAUGUGUGUUCUGGCUGAUAAUCAAGAGUUGUAGAGGCCUCCCCAUUUGAAGGCUGAGGAUCACAUUUGGAGGGAACAUUUAGUUAUCUGGGGGCAAAUUAACCUUGUGAAUUUCUUGCCAUUUAAUCUUGUGAGAUGCCUUCUGUCCAGUGGCCUGAUUUCCUGUAGGAUGGGACAGAUAAAGAUGAGCGUCUCCUUUUUCUCCUCUGUUGCUAUGAACCAACCAAGCUACCAGCUUCAUGCUGGGCCAAGAAAAUGAAUGAAUACAAUUAGUCCUUCAGGAGUCCUGGCCUUUGCAAGCUUAGAAGUAUAUGCCCAAAGAGUGUACCUUUGAGAAAGAGAAAACAUUGAAAUGGAAAAUGAACAAAACAUAGGAAGAUGUUAAGAAGAGAAUUUUCUGUGAGCAUUUGGUUCAUUGUUUAAUAUUUUUUUUUGUCCAAUAUAAAUAAUUUGAUUAAUAAUUUUUUUUUAAGAUGCGCCUUAGCCCUCUUCAUUUUCUUUGUGUGUGUGGGUUUUGAAUAACUUCAGGCAGUAAUGAGAACUUAAAAAGCUGUGAUAUUUUAUUUUAGAUAAUGAAUCGGUCUUAUGUUCACUGAGGCCAUAUAAUCCAUUUUCUUUUCAGAAACAGUAUGCAGACUGUUAAAGUGGCAGGUCUGAUUAGGAUGUUGAAAAGGAAACGUGUGUAUCAUAAGUACAGCGAGGAAGGCCUGGCCUCCUACCAGGGUGCUCAGUCAGGGACUAGUCUUCCAAACCGAGAAAAAAUUGCCUUCUGAUCAUUUGUGACGGAUAACACCUUCAUAUUCAGGUGUAAAACCUCAAAGAGGAGUAUGAGAAAUGAGAUGUUAAUAUUCGCUUUAGUAAUUUGUCUUAUGAUGGUGGUCUUAGCGAAACAUCAAUAAAUUGCUGUCUCUUUUAAGGGCCUGAUUUAUAUUAUUAAAUUUAUAUUUUCUUCUGCUUCUCAGCCUAGACCCCGAGCUGUUUGGUAGAAAAGUUUCCUGUGAUUAAUUUGAACUUCCAGUGUUUCUGAAUGGAAUAUUACUCACUACCAUGAGAUUGGUUUCCCCUGAAAUUUGCCUACAUUCAUGUUUACAGAGUUGUCAGUUACAAACCAGGCAGCACAAUGGCAUAGAAGCACUCAGUUUAGAAUUAGGAAGUAAUGCUGCGGGGUUUUCUGUAUUACAACUAUUAUGCCUAGUUUUUAGCAUAAACAAAGAAGUUCCUUAUAUUUUACUAUUCUUGAUAAUCUAUACUCCUGAUUGUACUCGGAGGGAUUUAUUGCCAACUACUGAAAUCCCUAUACUAUUUUCUAAUCUGAAAUCCAUGUAGAUGGAAACUUGACUUUGAGGUUUUUGAAUACAGUAUUCAAGCAGGGAGUCACAGAUUUCAAUAAAACCAUUAUUUUAAAACAGUGAAAACUUCUCCUUGAGUUAGCCAGUUGCUGAGAGACCGUGGAGUACCACAGUGAAGGUUAGCUCAGCUUUCAUUCAGGUAGAAUUCUAUCAUUUUCAAUAAGGAAAAAUAAACCUUUGUCAUCUCGAGAAACAUCCUUCAUGCAAUUGACAGUUGACAGGUUGAAGAAAAUGUUACUGUCAGGCCUUAUUUUCCCCUCAAGUGAGAAAUAAAAAUAGUUUUGAGUGAUUUUUUUCAGAAAAAAAAAAUCUAUUUUAAAUUAUUUCAAAAUGGAGGGGAAAUGUUUUCAGCUUUUACAUAUAUGUCAUAGAAUUAAUCUGCCAUUUGCUUCAGGGAAGGUCAUCAAAGUGCUGUUCCCAGAGGUUAUCUCACAGCUUAGUUCCUAGGGUAUUAACUUGAAAAAGCCAAAUUCAGCUGAUUUGUUUGUGACAGGGUAUCACCGAGCAUUUUCUGAUGGAGUUCUGUAAAAGAUGUAAGAGACCAAUAUUAUUCCUGUUACUACUUGUCAAGUGACCUGAUUCUCAGAACUGGGGAUCGCGGUUCUGGUGUGAAGGACGGGCGGGAAUUUGGGUUUUGUUGCAGCUCUGUGUAUAUGCAUCGGACCUUCAGGUUAUUAGCACACUAAGAGCAGACCUUUUUUAAAAAAAAUGGCUUUGCUAUUAAUACUUUUCAGUCACUGCCCAGCCUAAUCUGUAAGUUUCCAUGUGGAAGUGCAUGAAUAUAUGCUUGGAGAUGAGAAAAAACAUAUACCGAAGUUCUUGUUUCUCGAUUUAGAAAAAGCUAGGUUUUUGGCUUUCAGUUAAAUCAGCGUUUCUUUUCUUUCCCCCAGAAGCAGCCAUCUUGUUUUAAGACCGACUUUAUUUCUUUCAUGAAAAUGGUCCGGAAAUGAAUAUGGACGAUAGGAAAGGGCUAAACCACUUUAUAGUCGUCUUGAGCAGGGAUCCCCCUUGAAAGCUCUGUCUUAUCUGUGAGCGCACUGAAAAUGCUAUCUUCUCGAAUUUAGUUGUCAAAAAUGGAUAUUUUAACUUAGUAAUGAUAUGUUUUAAACCCAGGCAUAUUAUAGUUUCAUGUUAAGUAUUGGGCUGUGCCAUAUUUACAUACGUAUUUUUCUCUUGAAACUUACAAUUUCUCAGUCAUCUAUUAAUAUCUCCUAUUAUCACCGCCCCCCCAUCCUGAUGUCCUUUUUCUCACUGUACUAAGUAGUCUCUUAAAUUUGUUGAUUGAUAUAUAUUUUUUCCCCCAAAUUGCUCAGCAGUCCUAAGAAUCUUUUUCUAGUACAUGGUACUGAUAAAAACAUAGGUACCUCCAAAAAGAAGCAUUUGGGGUGCUUUAAGAAGCGUUAUACGAAACCAGAGCCUUUCCGCUCCCUGCAACAUAGGCUUUCACAGUCUCAUGACUAAACCGUUCCUGUGGGUUCUUACAGACAGUUAUUUUGGAAGUAAAUUCAUAUUUGUUAUUAAAAAUAAUGUGAGUGCCCUGAGACUGUUGUAUUUUCCACCAUGUUUUAAAUUUCUGGAUGCAUUUGGAGGAACAUGUGGCCUAGUAAACUUUACCAAAAAUUUAUAUUACGCUUCUUGCUACUGCAUCUGUUUGAUGAUGUCUGGGAACGUUGUUCCCAUGCACUGCAGUAAAAACAGAAAUUCUUAAGAAGAAUUUCAAAGUACCCUGCCUCAGCUAGUCUGAUUAAGCUGGGCACAGAUUGAGUACUGCUGAUGUCACAGAUGGUUUCAGUUCAUUAGAAGUAGGAUUUGUGGUGGUUGCAGGGGCAGUGUGAAGGCGAUGCAUAAAGUAAAUGUUUUGGGAUAAGACGUGCAUCUCAUGGACUUCUCGUUACAGUCCAGGUGUGAGUUAACAGCUUCUCUUACCAAAACCCUUUCCUCCACUAUCCAUCAUCUGUUGUUCUUUGGCUGAUGGAGAAGGCUACAAUAACCAAGUUGUUCAAAGUGACCUUUUUGUUUGAAAUGAACUAGCAAAUUACUUUUGUUUUCCCUUCCUGCCUCUAAGGUGUCAGAAUGUCCAUUCUGGUUUCAGUAGUGAUUUAUUUAUGCAUGUAGAAACUGUAAUGAACAAUUAGCUCUUGCCUCUGAACUAUGAAAGCACAUGUUGUAAGAGUAAAUGGAAGCAUCUUCUCCUGUCCAAAAUGCCAUUUUGCGGUUUUGAGGCGGUCGUGGCUUAUUUUGGUGGAAUAAUUGUAGUGCUGAUUGUGGUCUAGAUGUUGAUGGUGGUGGGCGUGAUGUGAAGUUUUGUGGUUCACAGGUGCCAGCGGAAAAUAUGGCUUUGUCACAUUCCCCCAACUUUAAUAAUAGAUAGGGGACUUGACCUUUUGGUGAGGUUUUCUUUAAUAGUAUUUCAUUUUAUGGAGUCAAAUGGGGAUUAGGGAGGAAAGGAAAAAUAAGUCUAGAUAUGGGGAAGUCAUCUUUUGUGUUCAACAAUUAGGUUAAACAAAGUGGGGGCAAAUGAGCCUGGUUCCCCUGCUGUUGUUUCGGGGCCAGAAAAUACAGGCAGAUGUCGGCAUGUAGACGCGGUGACCUCUGACCCACACAGCACGACCGCUGCCCUGGCUCACGAGUGUCCCCAGCGAGCAUCCCGCCUCCGCAGCAGCCCCCUUUUGAAGUGACUGACACUUGAGAUGGAGAACCUGAAGGGGAUUCCGUAGCUAUUUGCAGCUCUCCCAAAUCUAAGCCUGCUAGCUUCAGUUUUAACUUCCUCACCUUCCCUUUGAUGAACCACGUUUCUUUGUGUGGCUUAGACAGCGCUUCUGCGACUUCCAGAAGGGACCUGUGGCCCCGUAGUCCCCAUCAGUCUUUUCCUCCCAAGAAAUUUAUUCAUCGGGUUGGGAUAGCGGAGGAGGCUCAGAUGUAUGGUUCCGCCGCACCAAGCGUGUGCCUGCUUUAUUUAGCUAAUAUGUUUUUCUUUUUUUUUUUCUAAGACAGGUGAAAGCAGUGAUUUUGUUGCAGGCCUUUUCUUGUAGCUUCUGCUUUGCAAUCUUGCCCAUAACCCCUGGGUUCAGACAGACCAUUAACCUUUCAGAUACUGUGGCAUUCAGAAUUUUCUUCAUAUAUUUGUUUACUGUUACUGCUUCAGGAAACUUUUAUGCCUAUUUCGGUAGUUUUCUGGCAGGGGCUCUGUGUAUUAAAAUCUAGUGACCCAGCAGUAAAUGGGGUACAGUUCAGAGAGUGGGGCUCCUGACGGGGUUUUGUGUCAAACCAGAGAAAAUAAUAGGGAAGUGAAAGCUGCCAAAAUGUGUCUCCCAAUUACUAAUUAAUCAGGCGAGAAAGGACCUCAGUGACGGAGCUGGUGUCUGCCAUGACAGCAAAGAAAGGGACGCCUGGUUUUAAACACUGGAUAAAGCAAACUGAAGUAAGCCUCAGGGGGCACAGCACCCAGAGAGUUGAUAUCACAAGUGUUCAUCUUUUUACGUCCAUGUGAAAACCCAAAUUGAAACUGAAUCAUUGUAGUUCACUGAUAGUAUCAAGACAGGAAGCUAUUCUUUAUGCAUUUUGCUUAUUAAUAAGCAAUGUCUUUAUUCUUAUAAAUAUUUUAGUAUGGAUUUAAUAGUAUUCUUAGUUUUAGUAUUGAUGUAGCAUUGUAUACAUACUUUAUCCUCGAUAGAGACUCGGGGGGAAACAUUAAAAAUUUCUUUUUUUAAUCAUAUGCCUGUCAUCCAUAUUUUAAGCAUUGCUGUAAUUGAAGAACAAAAUUCUCCCCUCCCCUGGAAAUAAAUGUGUUUGCUGUCUCAGAGUUGCUAGUCUCCUCUACCUGUGUUCCAACUAUGGUUGCCGGACCCAUAAUUAAAUGCCUUUUACUAGUGUAUUUUUUCCAUAGCAUUUACCACCUAAAAAGAAGAGGGUCUCGUGUGGAACUAUAGCUGUCAGGGGAACAAUGAAGCUAAUUCCACACUCUGUUGUCACCAUUGUCGACUAUACUCGGGGGACACCAGCAACGUGCUGGGGUGUGGGUGUGUAUGUAUACAGGGCAUUUCAUGUGAGUAUACACUCAUGGGGUCACGCAUACCUGAUGGCGUAACCUAAAACUCUGGGAUCCCUGAAGCAAAAAAAAAAAAAAAAAAGUAUAAAGACAGUCUAAUUCAGUUAAUUAAAUAGAAACAAAGCGAUUCUUGAUUGGGAAGAGGGCUCCCACUUUAGUAUUUGUUCUUGAAAACCUGACCUGGGAGAGUCAGCAAUACUUACUGCUCUGGAUGUCUCCUUAUUUUGAGUAUCAUUUUGGAAUGGUCCUGUUAUCAUACAUCUGUGCCCAUUAUUUACUGGGUAACUAUCUCUUUCACACAUUGCUAUUUCUUAGCUCUAGAGUUUGGUGUUGGUAUCUGGUUGUUUGAGGACUGAUCGCUUUGUUUAUUAUGUAUAUCUCUCUGUUCCUGUAUUUCUCCUUUGAUGGCUUUGGCCCAUUUCACUCUUCAGUAGGUGGAUUUGGGAAAGAAAAUAAAAAAAAAAAAAAGAUAUCUCUGAGAUGUAGAGGAGUUCUGGUGUGAGAUUUGGUAAGAAGAGACUUUGUGGCUAUUGAAUAACUUGAGGUUUGGAAUCAGUUUUGAAUUUCAAUCAUCCAUGCCAUUCCUGUUCUGUGGUACCACAUAGAAUCAGGACUUGGCCCUAAAUAAUAUUUUCCAUUACUACUUUAAUUUCUUGGGUGAGUUCUCCUUACUGUAUUUAAAACCAGAACCAAAUGGGUAAAUGCAGGAAUUAUAUGUUGAUUUAAACUGAGUUUUCCGAAGUUUUCACGUUAAAGGAAUAUUAUAAAGAUCAAUAUCUAACGGUAGUAAUAUAUUUCUGUACUGGAUAUCUAAAAGCUACAAUUGGUAAAACAUUGAGUGAUACCUGCAGACAGUGGGAGGCAUGCAGUGGAUUCAGAGGUGGGUGAGGCAACAUCUGUGCCCUUAAGGACCUUGCAAUUUUGUGUACAUUAAGAACUGUAUACACACGAUCACAGUGCAGAGAGGAAGACACUGUUCUCAUCACAUGUGUGAUCUUCACCUCUGGAUUUAUUCAGCAAACAUUUAUUGAGUGUCCUCCGUGGGUCGGGUGUAGCUCUUGGUGCUGAGGACAGCGCAGUAAACAACACAGAAGCAGCACCCAUACCAUCCUGAAGCAGCACAGAAGCAGCACCCAUACCAUCCUGAAGCAGCCAGUUUCCAAUUUCUAGAUCACUGCUUUUCAUACUCCGAUGCGCACACAAGUCCUCUGAGAAUUUUCUUGAAAUAUAGAAUUUAAUGCGGUAGAUCUGGGGUGGGGCCUGUCUGCAUCUGUAGUGAACUCUCUGAUACUGAUUCUGCUGACCCAGGAACCACAGUUUGAGCAGCCAGCUUCUAGAUAAAUCAGCAGGGAGAGAGAUCACUUCUGGUUCCUCACCAAGGGCUCCUGGUUGUUCUCGCCCUGAACUGCCUGUGUGGUUCUGCAGUUUCUCAAGGGGCUCAGUGUUUGCAGGAGUGCAGGUUAUUUGUCUUAAGACCCUGUGGUUGUCUUUAUGUCUUGCGACUUUACCCCCAGGUCUCGGACAAACAAAAUAGAUUUUUACAUUGAGGUUUAUGCAUCGUUAAAAUGCACCACUAACAAAAGUAACCGGCCAGGUAUUUGGAUGGAAGUCUUGCUCUCUAUAGACAAAUCUUCUGGAGUGAAAAAAUUGUUUUGGUCCAAAAAGUUUAAGGAGGAUCCUGUCAUAAAUGUCUCAAUAUAUUUGCAAACCUUCCCCAGAGAUAUUUUCUAUGGCAAUGCCAGAAUUACACCUCAGAAACAGAUUUUUAAGACUUUCUAAGUGAAAUCCAUAUGGUUAAACGAACCCCAAAUGUUCAUUUUACAUCCAGCCCAGAAGAUGACUAACAACUUUUGUGCUUCCUCUGACGGGGUUUCUUGUGGGUGACGUUAGGAGCCUACACUUCUAUGGAGAUUUGGGGAAAAUACCUGUCUGCUCUAAAAUGCCAUAAUUUUAGUGUCCUUAGUGGGAAAUCUUUGUUUCUGUAGAGUCUCAGUGGUAUAAAUACGCUUGUAUUUUUUUCAUAGCCUGUAUAUCAUUUGCUUUUGCAAAACAAUUGUGUGAUGCUUGUUUUCACGAAUAAAGGGUGAAACUAAUUAAAUUCAGAUUACCCUGCCUGCUUAUUUAUUGUCGCUCCCUCUCUGGGUGUAUAAAUACAAUAUUCCCACUCUCCUAAGUGAACUUGAAAGUCUUUGAAAGCAUAAGUAGACUUACUCAACUGAUACACCUCUAUGCAACGAUUAUUAAAAGAAAGAUGAAACUGUUUGUCUUUAGAUCAGCUAUAUUUGUAUGAAAAUAAGCCAAAAGAAGGGGAGGAUGGUGAGCACUCUUAAUUCACACAUACUUUCAUUUUUUAAUAAAAAUUUUGCUGAUGCCUUUUUAUAGUUAAUUAUCAAGCAGAAGGAAAACUUUUCAUUUUCAAAUCCUUGGCAAAAAUGGACUUAAUUAUUGUGUAACUUUUGUAAGAACUAUGAAUAUUAUUAAGAAUAGUAAAUCAAGACAUGUCUCUUUUGCUUGACUUUUUUGAUGUUUAUGCUCAUUAGGGUGUAAAUAAGCAUCUGGGGCAAUGACUUUGAGGUGACAUCCACUUAAGAGUUCCCAGUCUUACGAUUCUCAUAGAUAAAUUUGAGAAUCUUUCAUGACUUUGUGUGAACUUAAGGGUGUCCUAAAAGAGACGUAUGCUUAGAAGAUUGUUAAAUUUAGAAGUAGGAUAUCUUCAUUGAUUAAUGAUGUCAUUUGCAUAUCCCUAAAGGAAUGGCUUUGUUCAAACUGGAGUUGACACACCUAAGCUUUGUGGUCAUUGCCAUGUUUAGAUAAAGCAGAAGAUGCUCAGUAGUCCUCAUUAUGGUUUUGCCCCUCCAUAUUUUAAAAAAGGGAAAAUAAAUACAUUGAAUAGGUUUUAUUUAACUCAUGGCUGUUAACGGUGAUUUGUCCUCGUUCACCAAACAGUUUUUAUUUAACUCAGGACUAUUAACAGUGACUUCUCAGAUUAAUAGGUUGUAACCGAGUUCUUUGACACAUAGAUAUUUGUACAUUUACAGACUACCUUGAUGGUAUAAAGUAAAAGCAUUGAGUUCAUGUACCUUUUUGUUUUGAGUUUUAUAAUAGCAGCUGUUUUGUAUAAAACUUCAAGUGGGUUUACGUGUUGACUAGGCUCGGCUCAGAGAGGAAGAUGUUAAAAAUCCUGUAAGUGAUUAGAUUUUUAAUUGUCUUGGUUAACAUUUUAGUUACAUUUCAGAUCUAGUUAAAUUUCAGCCCUGAGUCUAAAUACACCAUUCCUUUCAUAGUGAUGAAUUUGAACCUCAGUUUCUUCAUCCUAACAAAUAAAUGGGCAUGAGAAAAUUGUCUCCCUCAGAUCUGUGAAAAUUUGAAGGAAAAUACAGUAGGACUUUAAAAAGGGUUAUAAAAAUUCAAAUAGAGAUUGAGGGGGUAACCUCCGUUUGCAUUGAUGCAACUCUGUAACUCCAUAUGUUCUUUUAAAUUGCAUAGAAAUAUGUUCUUACAAAUAAUUUAUUGUCAAAUCAUCAUGGAAGAUUUGACCUUUUAAAAAAUCAAGUCGACUUAUUUUGUAAUACAUACCAUCCCUGCUAGAUACUAGUUAUGCAUUUACAUCAGAUUUCUUCUUAAAGGAAUUCACGUUUUAGGCUUAUCUUGUAAUUUCUCUGAGAGUAAUAAAGUGUGAAGAGAAGACACUGGAGAGGCCAGUUGGCUGGGGCCUUCUUCCAGAAAGGAAUUUUGGAUCUCCUUUGUAAAGUUGGUGCUCCCAGCUAAUCUCUGCUUCAUUGCUUCCUCUUUGACUUCUGAAACCCUAAUAUUCUGCUUUGGACUUCACAGGUAUAAUAAGGUAUCUCCAUCUCAAAGGAGAAUUUAAUGAAUACCGACACCCUUUUGGAGAAUGCUUGUAUUUCCAAUGAGGAGCUUGUUGAAACAAAUCAAUUCCUGUCUGGGGCUGUUCCUCACGGGCAGCGUGGCUGUCUCUGGGAUCCUUGGAUUCUUCUGCCUGCUACUUCCAGAAGAACAGGGCUGAGCCUCUUGACGCCUCUGUGCUUAAAAAUCUCCUGUUAUCGACUGCUUUUAAACUUAGUGCAUGCUAAUUAUACACACAUUGUUGUUAGGAGCAUAAAUAGAUCAUAACAACAUCUAGCUAGGAAAGGAAACAGAAUUUGUCAAGGCACACAUAUUGGAAUGCACUGAAACCUUAGUUUCUUUAACACAUUACUGUCAAAGGGCCACUUUCCUCUAGAAUCGUCUGGUGGUGACUCAAAGCAGGUUUUACUUCAUAUGCUUAUAGUUAGUCAGGAGAAUAGCAAGUGUUCCUGUUACUUGUUUUAGAAUAGCAAUCAUAUAUGAUUAUUUUAUGACAGUUUUCUCCUGAUGAUAUAAACCUCACUUAAGCUCCUCCCCACAAUGUAAUUCAUAAGGGAAAUUCUCAGUGAUCCUUAAAUCACUGUAACCCAGAGAUUUUGUGACAACCAAGGGCAGCGCUUGGCCAGUAGCAAUAAAAUUGACGUGAAUAUUAGCAAUAGCAAAAUUAUUUGAGAGCCCUGAUGACUCCGCAUAACUGAUUUCCCUUCAAAGUUCAGUGUUUCAAUGUUUGGAAUUGCUGUGCUCACCAGCUACAGUCUGAUUUGUUAACGUUUGUAUUGUGUCAUACAGAAGUGGGUUUCUUUGGUCCUGCUAAAUUGGAAGGUAAGAUUUGUCAAGAGAAUGAGCUUGCUAUGAGUUUAUUUCGAGUUUUAAAAUUUGCAAUUCUAGGUUACCUGGACUCAGUGUCUGAUGAAUGAUUAAUGGUUCCAAUCUCUCCCGUGUUCUAGGCAUCCUUUCUUGGUGAUAGAAUAGUCAGGAAGUUUAAAUUUUGAUGACUUACUUAUUGACACUCUGUAUUAUUAAGAAAAAUAAUUCCUUACAACUCAUGUAUCAGUUUAAACAUAUCAGCUAGAGGCUUCAUUUCAGCUAGGCUGACUCAGUAUUUUCUUUCCAUGAGAGCAUGUUGAUUGAUCAAAUUGAGUGUAUAGCAAUCCAGUAAUUCCUUAAGAUGUUGAAAUGAUUGGAUUGAGUUGCAUUUAAAUUAUUUAGCUUUUAUUAAUAUGGUAAGUAAUGUAGUAAAGAUUAGAGCUGAACAUAUUUCAGUGCAUUUGGUGAAUUUAAAUAAACAUGAUGGAAGAAGCCUAUCCUGAUAACCUAACCUCUUACCUCAUAUAAUUUGAGGAGGAGUAUUUUGAAUUCUCUUCAUUCUGUCUGUGAAAUGCCAAAUUACGUCAAUGUAUUUUACAUGUCUAAAAUAUAGACAAUAGUGACCUGCCUUUUAUUAUUAGGUUGCCAUAAACUUGAAUUUUAGCGUUUGGACAGUUGCAAAUUGUCUUCAAUUUCUCUCCUGUUGAACUUUUCAGAUCAUCUGACUGUCCUUAUAGAAAUAUUAUAAAAUGUGAAUGGCAUGUAUAGUUAGGUCUUUAAGCACAAACAGUGACGUCUACUUACUGAUUUAAAUGCAUAAUGAGCAUCAUAAUUGGUUAUAGCCAACAACUAUGAAUUUCUUGCCUCAGAUAUCUAACUGAAAUCUCAGGUAAUUUUUUAUGGUUGUAAUCAUUAUAGUAAAAACUUCCCAACUGUAACUUCAGGUUAGUUUUCUGACAGUUGACUCCUUGGAAAAAAAAAUAAACCAACUGGGCAAAUAUAAAAAUAUUUACAGUUCAUUUUAUUUUUUAAUAAAAAGAGUAUCUCUAUAUUUACACCAACAGAAGGCUACGUAAACUUAUGGAAAGACUCCAUUGAUCCCAGUAUAGUAUUAGAACUACCACCUUCCCCAUCCCACCUGCCAUCCCUUGGUAUGGGACUGUCACUGGCGGGAAGAGAGUGUUUGUGACUUUUCUUUCCCCAGGUCCUCUCUUCAAAGCCAAAGAUUUGCCUUCUGAAUGCUGCCAAGCCUCAGACACGCGUAGUAGUCUUUACCAUAGCUAACUCUGAACUCUGGGUGUUUGGUGAUCUGAGUUUCCUUUUAGGACGCACUUGAAUUGGUGGUAUACCUGGCAUCCAGUUCGGGAGUCAGCCAAGGAGUUUGGAGGAACCUCCCCUAGGGCCCUUGCGGGCAGAGAAGGCAACCUUUGGCAAGCUCAGGGUGCCUGAUCCCAUCAGGGCCCUGCUGGCAAGACGUGCAAGGGGUCACACUAAGUGGAUUUGCACCACGGCCCAAGGUGGAGCGUGAAGACUGCAGUCUUCAGUGUCCGAAGAUGGUUGGUUCUUCUUGGUAGAAACUGCUCAUUCGGGUCGAAAGUCUAACCUGUUUGGUUGAAUGGCCUCCCUUCCUUUCUCUGAGAAAGUGGUUUGGACAGUAAUCUACUUAAUCUAGCUCGACAACCCUCUUCCCGCUGGUUAAAAUAAAAUCUAGAAAACUCGGUGGGUUCUGCUUGGAAGGAGCUUCAAAACAGCGGCUGCAAACUGCGGUCCCUGCCGACCGGGUCCGGGGCUGGCCGGACCGCUCAAAGCCGCCUGUGGUCCCGCUUGGGCAGCACCCAGAGCCGGCCCGGGUCUGCGUGUUAGGAGAAGAGAAGGGCCGCGGGGGGACCACCAGGGCCGGAGCUGGACUCGGACAGGCGCCCGUGUGGGGAGAGGCCGGCGGCCUCCACAGCCAGCAGGAGCCGAGGUCGGCUCCAGAGACGCGGGGAGACCCGCAGAGGAGCGCGAAGAUGCGGAGCUCUGGGUCCUGGCGGUCCCGCGAUGCUGUGUUCUCACGGGCACCGCAAAGGGAGCCUUAUUGCUGGAGAGGAGCGAGAGAUGGGGGAGAAACCUGGAUUCCAGGCUGAUCCUCCUCCCUCGCGGGUACCUGUCCUGAUGACUCUGUCAGGCUUUGCAGCUUCAGCUGUCAUGUCAGAUUCACACUCUCUCGGGUCUCCUAAGUGCUUCAGCUUCCCCCAGGUAUCGGAUGGGCCAGCGACAACCAUAUGCCAUCUGAAGUGCCAGUUCUGAAGUUCUGAAGAGGCGAUGUCCUUAUUACAAGAAACAUUUCAACUUUUUUUGGAAAGAAAAUUAAAUCGUUGAAAUGUGGAACAGAUUCCCUUGUUUCAAAAGUGGAGUACUUUGACUGAAAACUGUAUUUUUUUUUUUUUUUUUUUUUUUACCAUUCAAUUCAAGAACCCAAACAAACAGCUGGCUGACUUAUGUUUUAGUGAAAACCAUCCUGGUACAUUUACUAACUGGAAAAGUAAACAUCCUUAAAAUGAAAUUCUCAUGUGUCCUGACUGCUAAGCGAUUUUUAAUAAAGACACAGUGAAACCAAGAGCAUGUCUGGACGGCCUUUCACUUUGACCGAUACUGUAAACGUCCCUGCAUCUUAAAUGCGUGUCCUUCUGUGACAUGUGAUGCGAACACACCAGGGCUAAAGACCACAUGCAGGCACAUACCAACACAAUUAGAAAAUGCACUAAUUGUCAAGGCAGUGAUCAGAAUGUGCUGCUUCACUCAGGCUCAUAAGGAGCAACUAACAAAUGAUGUCACAACAAAGCCUGGAAUGCUAUGAACAGAGAGAAAGCACAUCUGUUCAGGGUAUCAGGAACUGCUUCCUGGAAGAGGAAUACAGUAGUGUAGGCUUUGGACGAUGGGUAUGAUCUUCAUAGAGAUGGAGACAAGCAGGAGAAGACCAUUCCAGGGAGUCACAGCAAGAGGAGUGAAGACUUGCUGGCGGUAGCUUUGGAGGUGGAUUUGGGGGCCAUACAGAAAGUAGUUCAUUCUGAGUCAAUGAGAUCCAGUGCAAGAUUGGAAGCUUGGGCUGCAGUGGAUUAGCCACGUUGCAGGGUGUCACUGAGAAGCUUCUCAUAUUGAGGGGAGGGUCAUUAUGAUGGAUUAUUCUUUAUAAUGGGUGAGCUAGCAGAGUGCUCAUAUGCGUUAUCAUUGUUCUGCACCAUUGUGUAUCUCAGCUGCUGUUUAAUUGACUUGCAAAUAUAACCGGUACUGGAAAAUUUUGAAGGUCUCAAAUUAGGUCUGGUUCAUAAGUGGUUAGGUGGUAGGAAGGUAAAAACCGGGGCAGUUUUAGUAUUUCCAGAUGGCACUGCACGGUGCUCUAUCACAUAUAAAUUACUUCUCUGAUUUCUAGAUUAAGCAGUUGUUUUCAAACUUAAUUUUUGCCCCCCCCCCAAAAAACCCAUUAUUUGCAAAGAUCAUUAGCAGAAAACUAAUAUGUAAAAAAAAAAAAAAAGCAGAUGCCAUCAUUCAAACAUCAGGCUGCAUUUAGAAGAGAUUGGCAGCUAGGGCACCCCCUCUUCUGCUCCAGAGAGGCUGUGCAGAGGUUCCCUGGGCUGGUUCUAGGAGUCCCUUUUCAAAACCCCAAGUACAGGUUUAUUACUUAGAGGAGUGCGGGAUGAUUCACCCCUGCCUUUUCAGGCACAGAAGGGGCCCCGUGCCCCUCUGGAGAUGGAGGUGUUUCUCCCAUGGCUCCCGUUUAUCAAGCCCUUACUGUAUACCAAGCAUGGUGCUUUACGGACUCCUCAGUCAUUAUCAAGUAUUUAAUCUGGACAACACCUUCUAAGAAGAAGGCAUUAUAAUGACCCUGUUUUACAGAUGAGAAAACUGAGCUUUAAAUACUUUGACCUUGGCCAGUUAGGUGGCCCUUAACUGCUUCUUAGCUGGGCUGUGUGGAGUGACACUCCAUCUAAGAGAACUCAGUGAAGUAUUGAAAGGUGACCUUGAGAUAGAAGGUUCCAGGAGGCAAAGGGGAUAAGAACAUAGAGACUGUAUGCUGAUAUGAAAGGAGGGUUAAAAUUGCACACCUAUGUUCCCCCUUGUUGAGCGUUUAAUGGGCUGAAAGGUUGCAAACUGCAACUGGUUAUACCUACAGCAGAUAAUUAGUACCCCUGGAGGUUAAAUGUUUCAUGGACUCAUUCUUUGGCGCUAAUGGUCAGGCUGUGUGUGUUUAUAUAUACACACACAAAAUGUGUGUUGUAUACGAAGAAUACUGGGACUAGUAGGGAAUUCACAUGCCAGCUAGCUGUUCUCCUAUGCAUUUGGGUAAGCUUGACUCCAGAGGCCUGGCCAAAUAUAGUAAUAUUUUUAAAAGAAUUUCAGGAACAUUUGUAGAACUCCUAGAAUAAAAGCUGGAGUUUAACAAUCAUAUCGUUGGGAAAAGUUCACCUAUAUUUCAUCUAAAUUCCUGUACUUUUGGUCAGCUUUGGUUUAUAUAAUAACUAUGGAUUCACUUAAAAUUAAAAAAAAAAUACAGCUUCUGCCUCUUUCACUUUCAAUACGUUCUGAUCAAGAAGCGUGUGUUUUUAACGGUAUCGAGAACAGCCUAUGAAUGCUUGAAUUGACUCUAUGUUCCUCUGUGUCCCAAACCCCACUCCACACUCCCAUCUCUCCCCUUUCCUUGCUUCGUUUCAUCAUGGGAGUUUUUUGUCCGAUAGCUUAACAGCCAGUAAAUUAUUCCUGAUUAGUUUCAAAGACAAAAGUCCCCUGAUAGGAUGUGGGUGGCUCAGGUUCCCCGCUACUCUCUGGAGAGACAGCAUGGGAAGGAAGAAAGAGUUUUCGCACCUUAUCCAUCGUGGACAUCUGCUUUGCAGGCUAACCCAGGUCUGUCAGCUGAAAUAUGUGCCUGGAAACAUGGGGUGAUUCAUCACCCAGGCAGAACCUUUGUGGCUCUGCAGUGGAAGUUUGUACCCCUUCUUCUACUUUAGUGUAUAUGAAUGACAUUGAUAAGUAGAUAAUCCUGAGUUUGUGUAUACUAUCUACAUCUUUGUUUGUGUUCUGUUCCCUGGAUGAUAAGACUCUUGACGUCAGGGAUUGUGGUUUAUGUACAGAAACACUACAUACAAGAACUGGCCUGGGAUGGUUAAAAAUCUGAGGCACUUCCUGGGUAUAAUUCUCAGCUUCUCAACUUAGCAGGUGCUGUGGGCCUGGACAAGUUGCUUAACCUUUCCCUGCUUCACCUACCUCAGCUGUAAAUGAGAAGAAUAAAGCUAUUUAUCUGUUAAGACUUAUUGUGAUUAUUAAAUGACAUGUUACAUUAGAACAAUGCCUGGCACAGAGUAUGUGAUUCGUAAAUGCUAGCUACUAACAAAUACUUCUGCGUGACUUUCUCUAUUUUCAUUAUUAUGUACCAAAAAAAAAAAAAAAUCUUACACUGGGACAGAGAUGUAUUAAGGAGAUAGCAUUGACUGUCUUUGGAGUCAGGGUGCUCUGGGUUCAAAUGCUGAUUCUUUAACUCUCAGUUUCAUAUGUGUAAAAUAGAGAGUAUGUAUAAUGUGUGAUGAUUCGGAGGAAAGUAAAUGCAUUUAAAAUACCUGCUGCAAAGUAUCCCCUCUGUGAAAUCUGCUUAUUAUCAUUAUUAAUUUAGAGAAUUACUCACGUGAGUAUUAGCCUAUGAGAUGAAUGGUCUGCCCACAGUUCCUGUCUUCAUUUCAUUUUCUUGCCUGCCUAUGGCCAAAUGUUUUGGUAAUCUAACUGAACUCAUGUGUUAAUUGAGUGGAAAUUCUCCUUUCUGAUUUUGUCAGUUUGAAAGAUGAAAUGUUUGAAAAAAGAAAUAAGGCCUGGUGAUGUGGAUGCCACUUUUAUUUUCUCCCAAUCCCGUGUUUGGCCUUAAGCAGAUCACCAAAUGCCCCAGGACUCGUUUUCAUCUUGACCACAAGGUGACUGACCGAGGCGAUCACCUGUGCUAGAGCAUCUGACUCGGAAGAUCCGAAUGAGUCAGAGCUUUGACACUACUUGACUUUGACCUUGGGCAAGUCACUUAACCUUGGGCGAGUCCAGUUUCCUCAUUUGUGAAACCAGAGGAUUGUUGUCCUCUGGGAGGUCAUUGUCAACUUGAUGAAUCUUUCCAUCUCUUUAACUUCCUUGGUUAAAACAUAUACUGUAUUCCCCCCACCCUUUUAGCUUGUCAGAGCAGAGGAGAUAACACAUAUGUGUCUACAACACGUCUAAACUGAGCGACUGAUCUGAUCUGAAACUUUUGAAGAAAACACAUAGAUUUUUUUUUAAACUUUCAAACUUAAAAAUUUUUUUUUCUGUGUUACUUCUAAACAUGAUUUGAAGGAUUUAUCUGGAAAACUAUCCUGAAAUUAUAGUUAAUUGGUAAGAAAAAUAAUAUACAAUUUCAGAGCUUUGGGUACAUGUUUUAUACCAAAACAAGCCAAGCCACCUUCAUCCAAGUUAAUGAAUCCAAUCCUGAGAUUUAACACGGGGAGACUUUGGCAGAAAUGUAUCACAUUAAAUUCUGAAUUUAGUUUGGUUCUAAAAAAUAGGAAGAGUUUUUAAGAAGUGUUUCAAAAGAAAUAGAAGUGCCUGGAGUUAAAAAAUAUAUAUUCUUUAGGUUACAUCUGUAAGAUCUAAAUCACAAGUUGAUUUACUAAAGUGUUUGGUUUUCUUUUGCUACCCACUGGGAGGAGAUAUGAAGUAGAAGAGGGGAGACUUUAGAAAAUUGGAUAAAUGUGUAAAUACCGGAACAGAGCAUAUGAUUGUCCAUUUAAAUCUGUAUCAUAAGUUAUAUAAAUAUGACUUUACGGGUUUUUUUGACUCCAUAGUCUUCUGAGCUGUUUUUUGCUAUAUCACAUCUAAUUUUACAUACUUAUUUUUACAUUAUUAGUGAAAUAUAAAUAAUGUCAUGACAGACUUUAUAAAAUGAAAAGAAUAUCUCAAACAUUACUUUAGUGGUCAGCAAAAACUGAAGUGGACAAGACAUCCUGGAGUUUUAAAAUAAAUUCCAAGAUGCCAGUUCACUCUACAAGGGAGAAUGAUUCAGCCAGAAAAUCAGCUAAAAUUUUAAGUGAGUUAUGCAUUUGCAUCAAGAUGAUGGUAAAUGUAUAGACAGGUAUAUACACUAUAAGGAGUAAUUAUGACCCAACACACCUGUCUUACACCUGCCUGGUAUUAGACGGGCCUGCUUGCAGAGGAGACAGCGUCUCGUCUCUUGGGUGGCCACGUAAAACUUCAGGGCCUGUUUUGUCAGUAGUGUCUAAUCAGAUCACUCCUCAUCAGUUCCAUGGGUAGACUGGACAGGCUUCAGCCCACUUCCUGGGGCAGGGUGGGUUUUCAGGGGACCGGUCACAAUCACGGAGCACGAAGGUGGGCCUCAUAAAGGUCAGGCCUUGUUCUGUCAAGGAGGUUGGUUACCCACAGCGGGUAUGUAUUUGCCCGUGUGUUUCUGCAUUUAGUGAUUUGGUGGACAUGAACUUAACAUUGUUCAUUUCCUUGCUAUCUAAUCAAAGCCGUCUGACUAAAUUUAAAAAUCCAAGUUUAACUUUUAGAAUCUGUUUUUUUUUUUUCCCCUUUAGCUUGUAAUUUUGUAACCUUUCAUUGUUGGUUAUCAGAAUGAGAAUUAAAGUAAGUUUAUUUUGCUGAUUUUUAUUUCUAGCUAACAAUAUAGCUAUGUUGUUUAAAAGACCUUCUUAAAAUAAUAGCUUAUCAUAAUAACAAUGCUGAUUAUGAAACUAUGAUUUUAAAUUAUGAUUUUUACAAAUAGUAAUUAUUAAUCUCUUAUAGACACCUGUACCCAUGAUGAAAUUGUGAGAGGCUGAAGAAAGUAUAGAUAUAGUAGCUGUAUAUUUAGACUGAGUGGUUUGAGUGGCUCAUAAGUUUCCAGAAUUGCAUAAGAUAGAAAUACAUUGGUAUUAGUUAAUAUGCACAACAAAUAAUUUUAUUUAAAUCCACACAUAAACUUCAUUUUAUCUGCAAAUUAUUCCAUCGAUUGUGUCAUCUGCCUUUUGUUUUAUAUUGUUAUCAAAGUGACAUCAUGACAUAGAUGCUAGUUGUUUUUUAAAAGUCACAAAUUUGUAUUGUGGGGCAUAGGUAUCAUUUAUAUGAUACUUUACUUAAACCAGCUCAUUAGCAAUCUACCAUGCAUUGAUGAUAAUAUUCAAAAUUCCUGAUUCCAUACUAAAAUCACUAUGUCUGGAGGAACGUGGGGAACUGAUCUCGAAUGUGUAUACUUUACACAAUAAAAAAUCCUACACGAUAAAGAUUUUUCAAUAAGAUUUUUUCCCCUUUCUGUGGAAUCAAGCCUAUUCCAUCUUAAGCACUGCAUUCAGUGGCAGCAUCAUGGUAGAAACGGGGCCCCAGACCCACCUCCAUACUCCCGUAAAAAUACUCUGUGUCUUCAGAAGCAGUCUUUUUAACCUUCUCAUAGUUUUCACAGCUACGUCUUUCAGAAAUGACACACAACAGGAGUAAGUGUAACUAUUCCUGUCUCCUCGUUGAUGGGGAGACCCAGGAACGCAAGUGGAUUUGUGACAGGACCCCCACGUUUAACUAGCGCCUCCCUCUUCCCUUCUGUGUGCCCCGGUAGUAACUGGCUAACCUCACUGAAGACAUUAAUUACACCAGGUUCACUGUGCUCGCCCUGGCGUCAGUCACAUCCGGUUUAAUCUUUGUGUUACUGUGGUUGGUGUAGUGCGUGGCACACAGUAGGUGCUUUGUGGAAGGUUUAGUGUGAGAAUGAUAAUGCCAUUAAGCGCAUAGCACCUGCUUAGAUUCUGCUCAUCUUUCAUUUCAUGGAGAAGGAGCCACGUGUUAACAGGUAUUGAACUUGAUAAUUAUCAGUCACAGCCACCCCAUGAUUACUCUUCACAGUGGGAAUGUAAACAGAUCCUUACUCAUUGUUUUUCUCAGCCACAUUGUUUGGCCUCAGCCUCUUAGGUAUUUGAAGAGAUGGAUUGAUGAGAGCAGAGCAGAGCAGGUGACAGGCUUCGGGCCACAGGGAAUGUGUGGGCAAGUGAGUUUGCCUUUCUUUAUAUAACUGAAUCUUCCAUAUUUACCUGGAGAAAACAGAAGUAGCUAGAUGGCUCCUUUGGUUAUGGCUUAGGAUGGACAUUUAACAAUGCUUUUUUGGCUCUCUCUCUGUUUUUUAAAUAUAACAAUCUUCAAAUCAAAAACUGCAUCUUAAAAAUGCCAAGCACUUUAAAUAUUUGCUCUCUGUACAGACUUGAUGACUUUAAGUCUAUGCGAUGUCCGCAAGAUAUGAGCAAAGUAAAAAUAACAUUUCCCUGUCCUCAAAUCCUUUUGAAGUAGGAGUCAGACAAAAACAUUUAUUUGCUCUGGUAUUUUAGGAUAAAUUUAAUGACAGAACUAGACUAACUGUAAAACUUGAUCCAGUAUAUUGUGGGCCGAUUGUUUAAGAUGGCACUUAAAAGAGGGUGAUAUACACACAGAGAUUUGAUAGAAAUAAAUUUGGUAAUGAUGUUUAACAUAUGAAUAGUGUGUGCCUUAAUUUAGGGGGACUAAAAUAUCAUGAAUGGUAGUAUAAAUUUAAUUUAGUCAUCUCUGGAUAAAGUACAGGUGAACAAUUUGGUGUUUAUGUAAGUUAAAAGUGGCUGAGAAAAUGCUUCAACUUCUAUAAAGCAAGAUUUACUUAUUUUUCUGUUCCCUUGUUUGAAGCUUGUCACUUAAUAGACAUUUUAUAGUUGUUUUUUUUUUUUUUUUUUUCUGGAUGAAUUUAACUCACAGCGGAACAGUUGAAAACAUUUGCAAGUCAUGAUGUUAUAUAAUCUGACUUUUUUCCAUCUUUAAAAGUAAAUCACAGUUUAAAAAAAAAUUGUUGAGGAAAUUCAUUUUUAACUUUUGAGCAUCUACUGUGUAUUAGGUACUGUCUAGGUAAUUAAGGUAUUCUUGGAUAACAAAGUUAGCAGUUACUCAUGAAUAAAUAACUGAACUUAUCCACUUAGUGUGCUUUAUAGCAAAAAGUACAAGCUUGUGUUUACAUAAGAAAUUUGUUUAGAUAACAUUGCUUUUUCCCUUUAAUGAACCUUCCUCUAGAGGCCAUGUUUUCUUCAUUAAUUUGUAUUAAUAAUUUUUGAAAUGAAGCAAAAUGUUCUCAUACUUUCUUUCUAAAUGUUUCUUUUUGUCUCCUUUUAUUUAUAAGUAAGCACUAACCUUUUGGGGAAGGUUACUAGGAGCUAACAAGUAGCAAUAUAAUGUUUGAUGAAUCUGAGCCAAGGUGACUAUUUCUCUCUAAUGGAGGAUGACAACGACGGAUUUAAGAAGUCAUCCCCUUAUUGUCUCCGGCACAAAAACCUUCCGCUUGCAUCUUUCAGCUUGUAUCACCACUUCUAAAGGAUCCAUGGGCAAACUGCUGAAUUUUUAUUAAUCAGCUUAACUUAAUGAGAUGAAAAGACCUUUUCAAAAGAAUGAAGAAGGCAGAGACAGAGACUGAGAACCACUCUAAUUCUUUUCCAUGAAAAAACCAUUUUCCUUCCAGAUUUUUUAGGGAAGGCAUAUUCAGCCCUGUUUCCAGGUAAUUCAUCUGGCUCUUCUUUCUAAUUUUCACACAUUUAGGGACUUUCUCUAGCCGUGUGCUGCCUUUAUUAUUGUUUUUUAAAGAAAGUAGACAGCUCUAAAGAAGAGUUAAUGAGAGUUGAGGGAGGGGGAAUACCUUUGGGAAGGGAGGCAGGAAGGCUUAAGCUGAUAAAACACGACUCUUUUUUUGAUGGGGACUCUGUUUGGAUAACUUUGCCUUGUCUAAAUUCUUCUCUCUCCCCGUCCUUCCUGCUCACCCCUUCCCCUUUCUUUCCCGCCACGUCUUGUCAAGCCUCCUUCAUAAACGGUAGCAGCUGGAGACCUUUUAGUGGCAUUCAGGGAUUACUUCCCUUCAGGGUUUUAAUAAGCCCUGAUGCUUCAAACACAGUCAAGACGCUUCUGGAGACAAUCGCCAUUCAGGCUGGGGACCGUGGAAGCUUUCAGGGCCCAGAUGGCUGGAUCCAGGUGGGACCCUGGGGUCCACGGGGCCCAGCAGGUCCCAGUAGCAGGGAGUCCCCUGGAAGGGCAGACUCGGAAGCAGUCAGGAGAGGGAUGGGUCUCUGCAGUCACGAGGGGCUCCGCCCCAUGCUUUCUCAGCCUGCCUGACUGCACGCUCCCUUAAAUUGUUGGAUUUAACUCUGACCAGCCAGGGCUGCCACCACUCAAGUCCCGUGGUCCCAGGCUUAUCAGUCCCCAUGGGAGAUCCACCCCCCCAGUAGUGGGGACCCUGGGGCAAGAUGCUGGCCUCAUUCGGCAGAUCUGCUGAGGUGUUACUUAAAGGCUGAGCCUACUGGAGGGCAGGAGGUUCCGAGUGCCUCAGUGAUGGGAGAGACGUGUCUUGAGGCCCUAAAAGCUUUUUUAUGUCACCUAGUGAUUUAUCCCAAUCCGCGGCUUUUAAAAUUUAGUUCUUAAGGUAACUCAGGCAACCUUUAUAGAGGUGGUGCCCUGUGGGUUCUUUGGGUUCAUGUAAUGUCUGAUUUUGUCUUUGUAGGUGGGAAAAUUGGGAGGCAAGAGAACAUUCUAGAUGUCACACAGAGCCAGGGCUCAGCAGUGCCCGUCUCGCUCACUCGCCAGUAUUUAUCUUUGUAACUAAUGCGAGCCCAGUGUGACUGCAGCUCCAGGAAGCCAUAUUCUCUGAAAAGAAGGAGUAAGCUCGUGCUGCGUCUUGCCUCUUCACAUAUCUGCAGUCAGAACCUAGAAUUCUUAAAGAAAAAAAAAAAACAACUAAGGGAAAAACAAUCUUCUGGACACACGUGCCUAUCGAUGAAACAGAAUAAAGGAAAUAUAAGUAUACUUGUGUACAAAAUUUGAACGCUCAGCCCCCUUUUUCUGCGCUCAGGGCCCAGCUUUAAGUCAAGAUGUGAGCAAAUUGUUUUAUGUUGUCUUCUGUGAAAUGAUUCCAACCUUAGGUAUUUGCACGUAGCGUGUGAUUUUACAUAGCAACAAAGGCAUCCGCUGACUGAGUAUUUGGUUCAUUGUGGGUUAAGAUGUCUACUAACGUUGCAUUUGUACUUCCGGAUUGAGGGUAAGACUGCUUCAAACAUUGUCUUCCGCGAUGUGAUUUUUGCAGCCUUCUCCUUAAACCAUGGCGUCUCCGGCUCAGUUUCUAUGUCAUUAUUCUUGCCCGUGGACUCUGGCCUCCUAUGCGCGGUGGAGUGAUAAAGCUGUGUUGCUAGGCAGAGUUCUGCCAGGCAGCUCAUGCUGGGCUUCAUAUCUGUCAUUGCCCCGCUUUCAUGUUUCUAUGAGGAUGGAGAUGAGUUGAGACAGAAUAUCAUUGGGAAUAGGCGCAUAGCUAAGUGCCCAGGUUUCCUGAUUCUCCAUUGAGUCAUCAUGAGUGUCUCUGAACAGCACCAGCGGUAUUCUUGGCACGCAAGGCUCAGCGGGAAUAACACUGAAAUAGCAAAGAUCGAAACCUGCAUUGCUGGAAUAUUCUCGGCUUGCUCUACGACCUUUUUGGUCUCCCACCUUUGAAUCUGCGCCUAAAGCCUCAGUGCCUCUACGGGAAGAUCAGGGCCGCCCCAAAGAAUGCCAGGCGGAGGGCAGGAGACAUGAGAAUAAAAGGAGCAGUUGGUGACAGGAUCGUAUUCGUUUUUUUCCAGCAUUCAUGGAAUUUAUAUCAGAACCAUGGGACUUUGACAUCACAUGCAUUAAAAAAAAAAAUCAAAAGAAAUUCUAGUUUUUCAAGAGCAAAAUUUAAGAAGGGAUUAAAAAAGAGAAAGAAGCUUUUGUGACAAUUCAAUAAUAUGACAGUUCUAUAAAUGGAGGGUUAGUCCCCCAAAAAUUUGCCUUCAUAAAGACAAAGUAUCAGUGUUGGGUCUUCGUAGCUAACAAAAAUAACUGGUCAUUUGCUUCCUCCCAUGAAGUGUUUGGCUGUAUGUAUCUGUAAAUUAACACGACCCUGCCACUGAAUGUGUUUAUUAGGCUUUUCAAAAUGUCUGCCGGGCUUUGGAAGCUCAGAACGGGAGGCGGUUGGUCUGCUUCAGCAUUUCUCUGUAAAUGCUCCUCUCAUGAUAUGCCUGAAAACCUUCGAUAUUAUAAUAAUGCUAAUAAAAAUGGAAAACUCUGAGCUCUUUAGAGAUGCAUAAAGAAGUGUGAUUUCUCUGUGACCUGAAUAACUCUUGGAAUCGCUGCUCCGGCCCUUUGAAAGAAGGCGGCUGUACUGUACUGCUUUGUGCCCCUUUGAACCUCUAGCUAUCUGACUAUUUUAAGGAUGCAAAUAAUGGAAGAGAAUCUAACUCGGGUUCGACUCUGAAGGACAGGUGGCAUCCCCUCCCCCCGGGCCCCCCACCACCGUGCAGUCCCCUCUGCCCCCCCCACCCUGCGCAGUCUGUUGAACAGUGCUAUCUAGGCUGGCUUCUUAAAUGAGAGGUGAUCCUGUUGAUGAAUAAAAUUAAAACAAUAAUACAUUUUUUUUUUCCCCACUUGUGCACCUUUUGGGUUUUGUCCCUUUGAGAAUCGUAAAUUGGAUUUGUUAUCGCGACCUUUCAAGAGGCACAGCUCUGGCGUCCGGUGUUAAUCGCCGGCCGGCAGGGACCCGGGUGGCUGGAGGGAUGCUGGGGUGGAAGGCGGACAGCCGUGUCUCUGGAGGCGCGUGGCUCUGGGAAGCAGGGCGAUUCAGGGGGAGCUGCUUCCCGCAGGGACCCCUUCUCUCUGCUGAGCGCUCUUGGUGGCGCCGUGGACAGGAGGUGAGGCGUCUGCAGUCACACAGCCUGGGGGGCCCCCGGCGGGCUGCGGUGAUAUUGCUUCCCCCGCGUGGCAUGGCUCAGCGUCUGGGGCGCUUGCUGGGUUUCAAGCCCUUUGUCGGCUUAGGAAUUAUUUUCUCUCAUUUUGACGUGGAUCCACUACUCCUGCCACUCAUGUUAAUAACCAGGGCAGAGAGAGCAAAGGCGGCCAGGGAAGAUGGGAGGGGGGCAGACUGGCUGGCAUGGCAGACAGUUUUAAUCACCACUUUUAUGGGUAAUUUUCGUGAUGAGGGAUUGCGCCUGUUGAUCACAGGAAUGCAAAUUAUCGAUAGUAAAUGUGCAUUGUUUUCCUCACUUUGCGGGAUACCGAAGGCUGGCAUUAAAAAAGGACAUCGUCAUCCGAACGGUAGCACCCAGGCACCUUUUGUUAGACAUUUAGAGAGGACACCCUUUUAAUUAGACUAAGUACUUGUAGUUGGUCCUUCCAGUUUCCUGCUUACUUAACUGAACAGCCACUGAAUUAUUUGACAUUAUUUUUCUUUUGUGAGUUAUCGUAGCUGCAUAGAGGUGGGCACUGAACGUGUGCCAUCCGUGUGCCAGAGGAGGCCUGUCACACCCAGGACUCCCUGUGUGAGGGAGCCGGGAGGCUUUGCGUGCGCAGUUAGCCGGCGUCGGGCUGGGAUAGACGGCACGGUGCUUGGUUAAUUUAAGAAGAGCUUUCCAGACUCCAGUGAAGUUAUCUGUUGGCUGGAGGGAUGGACACUGACAGACUGAAGUCUUGGCCGAACUUCUGGAAUCAGCCGAGCCUGCCCGCGGCCCUGCAGACAAGGGGGUGCUGUGCCACGGUGGCCCCGCUGCCCUCUGAGGACGGGGUGCCCCGUCGGAGCGUGGCCGGGUCCCCCCAGCAGCGGGGGACGCCCCAGGGGAGGUUGGCGGCGCCUCCUUUCCCACUCCUCCAGCCGGGCCAGGCCCGGAGCCCCCGUGUCCUGUGCAGGGAGCCCCCUCUCGGGACCCCCCUGCUCACGGCCGUCGGGCGCAGAGGCCGGCGGGGGACGAGGAGGAGGCUUUGCAGAGGGCACGUUCGGCGAGCACAGCCAGGCCGGAAGACUGUCCUGCACGCGGCCCAGCGUCUGGACGCAGGUCUGCAGGAGGCGGAGGGGCAGCCUGCGGUCCGAGGGGGUCUUCCUGCCGUGCACGCGGCCUGAAGCUGACAUCGCCGAGGAGGCCGCAGGCUGGAGGUCCGCCCUGGUUGUGUUGCGUCAUUGACUCAAUGGAGUCUCCUAAUCACAGCUGCUCAAGAGGGGCGCAGAGGGAGCCACAGACCCGGGGGCGGGGUGCCCAGCCGUCUGAGGACUGGGCAGAGUGGUGGGUCUUCUGAGCCGCAGACAAGACACCUGGAGGCCGGCACGAGACGCUUAGCUUCUGAAGCCUUUGCUUCAGUGCAAGCGACGUUCUCUAUUACAAGUGCAAGCCCUGCCUCUGAAUUAACCGCGGCGGCACUCAGGUGCACGCUGCCAGCCCUCUUCAGGCAAGAGCUGGGUCUGUGUUCCUGAUGGCUUUGCUGAACGCCAUUUUCCUCUUGCGGUGCUGGAUUAAAACAAAAAAAAAAAAACUCAGGGAAAUUUGUGAGCAGGUGGGUCGUAGGUGGCUUGGACUUGCACGCUCUGACAGCUUAUCUGCAUCUGGUGAAGGUGGCGGCUCUGGGAGACCGUGAUGGGGGAGUUGUUAGGGAGACGGGGCGUCCAGGGAGGAGUGUGCUUGUCCACUCUAGGUCUGUUCCUAGAUAAGGGCCACUCGUGCUAAGCCUGUGAGGCCGCUUUUUGACACCGAAGGUUCAUUUAUAUUUUACUUUCUGCCCUCCUGUGUUCCCACCCCGACUCUCCUCCUCCCCCGGACAAACUUUGUUGAGAGGUGAAGAAGAAAAAGAAGGCAAACUUUUGAAUUUUCAGCUGAAAAGGUGCAAGUUCAGCUUCCAGGUAUCACAGUCUCUGUCAUGAUGCGUAUUGAUUUUAAAUGUCACAAUAGAUUAUUUUUUAUUAUUUUGUAGUAUAGGUUAGUAAAACCUGAAAUCCCCGGGGUGGGGGUGGGGGGAAUCAUUAGUUUUAAAAGUUUGUACAUUCAAUGACCAGAAAGUGAAAUAGACAGUUUUGUCUUAAAACAGUUUUUUUAAGAUAUCGAUUAACUGGCCCCAACUCUACUGCAAAUGUUUGGAGACUGAGAAGAAAUGCGUGUAGUGGCAUCCCCAGAAGAGAGCCGGCUAGCCUGCUCGCUGUUUUAUUUAAGUGUGUGCGAGUGUACGCCCCUCCUGGGGGUCAGAGAAGAUCACAGGCCUCCUCCAUUUCUCCUCCUCAUGUGUUGAAAUAUGUUACUAGUCCUAGCAGUCUAGUUCAAAGAUGUUUUUAUUCGAACUUGCGGACAAUCUCUUAGGACAUAAACUUUUGUAUUGGCUUCUCACUGCUGUAGGACAUAUAUAACAUUUCAAACACAGCUUUAAAAGUCAAGGCUAAUGACAGGAUAACUAUAUUUAUAGGUUUGUUUAAAAUUGGCAUCUAUUUUUAACGUGGUUACAGUAUAUUGGCUCUCCUAACCUUAAUGCAAGAUUAGAAAAGCAAAGCAAAUAUCAAUCUACUACAGAUAUGAGAAUACAGAUCGACAAAAGAAAGGGUAAGAAGUGCUUAAAUAAGAAAAAGUGGCACUGGAGAAAAAGUUGGGGACUUUCCCCAGCAUCAGCAACCCCCAGAAGAUACCUUUUCCUAUCCAUUGAUCUGUAAAGUCGAUACUUAAAGAAUAUUAGUGCAGUGUGCUUGGGGAGAGGUGAAGAGGUGGGAACUAAUAUUUAUAAAGUGCCUACUCCCGCUGUGCUGGGCCAUGACUUGCUAGUCCUCUGAGCAAAGAAUUAUCAUCUUGAUUUUAGGCACGGGGAAGAUAAAGUUUUGAAGAUACUAUGUAACUGGCCAAACUCAUAUAGCCAGUAUGUGGUUCAGGUAAAACUUGUGCCACAUCACGCUGCCGGUCACGUGUGCACAUGUUGUACAUGCGUGUGUGUGUGUGUGUGUCCCCGAUCGGGAUAGAGUAGCAGGGGCUGAAGUAUCCAGAGCAAUUAGAAAGAAAACAGGAAGAUGGAUAGAUGGAUGGAUGGGAGGGAGGGACAGAGGAAGGAAUAAAAGUUUUCCUCUGUGAAUCAAAGGGAUUCAUCUGCUUAUUCACCCUCCAGUGGGAAGAUGAAAGCUAUUUUAAGUGUUAAGACCAACACUGUUCUAGUCUGUUCUUUUGGCUGCACUAAAACUCAGGUGUAAGCCAGUCCUGGGAGCCAGCAAGAGUCUGUUUCGAUGGAUGUUCAUUAUGACACAGGUGAUAAGACUAGAGCUCGGAAAAGUAAAAGGAUUUUUUUUUUAAGUAAAAUGUGACGUCAUUGCCUUAAGUUGUUGCAGCAGCUAUUUUUGGGCACACAGCAGCGCUGGGUCGCGGUCGUUGUGUGGCUGGGGCGCGGGAGGGAGGGCCUGCGUGCUCUGAGUGGCUGGGGCGCGGGAUGGAGGGCCUGCGUGCUCUGAGUGGCUGGGGCGCGGGAGGGAGGGCCGGCGUGCUCUGAGUGGACCUGAAGCUUGGGGGCUGUGUGGUUUACUGUUCACAAGUGUAGCCUCCCGCUCGUGUCUCUGUGUUUGAUCGCCUUCCCACCUUGAAGCGACCUGAGUGAUAUUAUAUAGGAAGCAGGAGUUUUAUUAAAAUAGGAGCGAUAUGCUUUCCCCUGGAAACCGUUUCAUUCAGUGCCAAGAGAAGCAGAAAUCCUUCCCUUCCCCCCACUUCCUCUGGGUUCCCCAUAUUGGCUGUACACGGAGGAAAGAAAGCCCCUUAUUGAGGACAAUAUUGAAGGGAAGGGAGGUCAGGGCAGGCAGGCGAAAGGGAGGUGCUUGGAGGGACAAUACAUUCUCUGUGUUAUUUUAAAUAGUAUGUGACAUUACUUCUCAGUUGAAGCUGAAAGUCAAAGCCUCUUGAAAUAUGUAUGGAUCAACAGGACCACUUUUGCACCCAAAAAAGGAGGAAGGUGCUGGCAAUGAGCCAUGCUGAAAUCCUGGGUUGAGAGUUUGAAGGUGGAAUUGGGGGAGAGGAGGGCAGAGGUCACAGCAGCAACAGGAAGUACUGUUUGCAGACGGGUAGGUCAGUCUUAAAUCUCCAGUUAGCUCCGAUUUAUUGUUCCUGCAGAGUGACCGCUAUCUUCCAGCAGUGCAGUUUUCUACUAUAUGGCUAUAUUUAGUUAGAAGAUUUUUUUUUUUUUAAUUAUCAAAUGAAGGUUUCUCAGAGUUUGCCUUCUCCUGGCAGGUAACUUGGGUCUCAGGCUGAGUUAUGGUCUGUGGCCCCAUUAGAGUCAAGAGCGCCUGCUCCCCCCAAAGGGUCAUAUGCAUGCUUUCCUGCCUAAUACCCAUAAGAGGCUUUAGGGGGGAAGGAGAAGAAUAUAAACACAGAAACCACAUCCUAACAGCUGCCUCCAGUUAGCUCUGUUUCCCCCCCAGCUUUUAAAUCUUAGAGCGGCAUCUAAUUUGUCCCACAUUGCUUUCCUCCCAGUGGAAGCGCUAUCCCUUCGCCCUGUAGCUCUCUUUGAGCGAAAGCAAACAGUCGUGAAGAACUAACUAGUUCUGCUAGUUUAGAUCACUGUCAUUAGGUCGCUGGUUGUCAGGUGCCUGGGAACGAGAAGGAGACACCCAUUUGUAGACGGUGAGAGAUUUAGAACAAAGUCUGAAUCCAUUUCGGGGCCAGUGGGCCUAUCAAAAUACCUCUCAACAAAGCACUCCAUGAAGUUAGUUGACCAAAUAAAGGAGCUUGUGAACCAGUGAGUGGACUACUGUGGUUUGAAUAGAUAUGCGACUUUAACCUAGGAUGACCAAUCGGAAUCAUCUAGGGUGUUUAAAAAAUUCACAGACAUGCCCAACUCCUUCCCCUGAUAUUCUUCCUCAAUUUUAAUAAGCCUGGGAGUGAGGCGGGUAGACUUAAACAGAUUUGUGUUCUGGCGGAUUGCAACUUGCACUAAUUAUAUUCAUUUUUAAAAAUUUCUAGAUUAUUUCUUUCUUGUGUAUUUCAUUCAUGUCUGUAUUUCUUCCUCCAUGUUUCUUUGUUUUUUUCCUUCUUAAUAUAGUAAGGCUGAGGAUAGAUGCUUCUGGGGCAGGAAGAAUACUGAAUUAAGUUGUUUCCUUCACGGAGACUAGUCUUCUGUUUUUCCUUUCCAGUUCCUGUGCAUUUCACAUUGCUGCUGAGAUAGUACGGCAUGAGAUCCACACAGCCAAUGUCUUUGUCUGCUGACUUUUCAAAAGGGAAAUUGGUCCAGUUUAAAAAAAAAAAAGAAAAUUAAGAUUAGUGUUAGUGACAGGGAACAGCGGUUCUCGCAUAGAGACUUAGCUCUCCAAUAAUGUCUUAUUCAAGAUUUAUUGGUCAUCUGAAUUUUAUUGCAUAUAUGCAGAAUACUGCUGGCUCGUGUCCACUAUACUGUGAGAAAUAUUCGUGCUUCACCUUGAAAAAGGAGUACCUGAAUUAGUCCUUAUAAAAUCACCUUGUCCUGGUGAUACUGCUGAAGAACUGAUAGUCUUUUCAUAAAGUAAGGAAUAAACCUAUCACCGGUUGCUUUAAAAGGUCAUUGUCUCUCGAAAAGUAGAUUAGCUCACUUUGUUCCAUGGGCAGGAAUCAUCACUUUGGAAAACUGUACAUACCAAGUAAAUUUCUGCUCUCACUUUUGGCUUGCUCUUGUAAAAGAGGUUUCAUGCCUACCAGUUUUCACUUGCUAAUGUAAGUCACAGCUCCUCACAGGUAGAGUGGCAGGACACCAAGGAUGCUGCGUCUAGUGUGCUUUUAAAGUUUCUCCUCUUAACAAAUGCAGAUUCCCAAGCAUGGGACGCCUGCACAGAAACACUGACGACAGAUUCGGCGAUUAAAUAUUUUGGAUGUUGUUGGAGGCCAGUGGUUAGGAAGUGAGUCACAGCAGUAACUGAAGUGACUCAGUUGCGUUUUAUGGAAGAAAGUGACUGAAAUGGCACCUCUCCCUUGGUUCGUACGUAUCAUGCAGAAUGGACCCGCUCUUCUCCCGAGAUACAGCCUGUGGAUCUCUGCUACGUGUAAAUCCUCAUGUAACAGAGACGGUGAUUUAGCCUGUCACUUAGAAAAGCCUGUGAAUUUAUGUGAAGGGAAGGGAUAAACGUUGCCAUGAUAUUUGCUGGAAGAAUCAUAAUUAACUCUGUAUUCUCUCCUUUCUAAGCUAAAAAUGGGAUAGGAUGCGUUGGGGGCGGGGGGGUGGGGGGUGGUUGGUUCAGUUCCGCUAGAAGGAAUAAUGUUCCACGUUGAUACAUCUGAAACUACAACCUUCCUCUACUAACUAAUCCGUCUAGGGUGUUCAGAAAGGAGGAGUUCGGCCUAAAUCUGCUUAAUCCUUUAAACAAUGAAACAGUUAUAACUGCUCUCAUUGCAAAUGGUUCUAAAAUGUCAUAGUCAUUGCCAGACGGGGCCCGGUAGAGGAUGGCGAGUUUUCUCAAUGAACCAGGACUCUCAUUAAGAACACCAGUUAUUGAACUCUUUGGUAAUACUGGAAUGUGCUCCGGAGCCUUUGAGGUCUUGUAGGUUUAGCCUGACUUUUUAUGAUAUUUCCCAGAUGGCUGGCUCUCCUGCCUCUUGCCAGUGUCGAGGGCUUUUUAUCCCAGAGCCCACAGCCUCUGUGCUCCUCUAAUUAGUAUUUUUCUUUUCUUUUUUGCUCCCUCUUCAUAGUUUCUCUUCUCCUCUGCCACUUUUAAACCACCGAGAACUUGCUCUGACUUCCAGAUUCCCAAAUUGGUUUUUCUUUCCUUCUUCCCUUUAUAACCCAGGAGUGGUAUAAGGAUUUCAGGGUGAAUCCAGAUAAGAAUUUCCUUGUAAUUAACUCAGGUUAUUACUCGUGUCUCCAGCCUGUGGGACGUGGGGUGGGCCCGGGAGGGUCUGACUCCCCACCUUCCUGUUCCAUAAAGCAUGUGGGCUUUGGCUUGCCAUGUUUAUUUUGCUUGAAUGCUCCUUUGCUUUGUUCGUGAUGUUCUGUGUUUGCUGAUGAAAUUUUCACCCCCAAACAAGAAGCAAUUCCACUUUCCCUUCUAAAAGCAGUUAACAGGCUCUGAUUUCUGUCUUUACCCAAUAGUCUCUUUGCCUUUUUUUUUUCCUUCUUGGAAGGGUUAUUUAUUGGGACUACACAUCCACAUACAUUAACAGGCCUGUUUAGAUGUAAGGAAGGCCCAACCCUGCCCCCUGGCCCCUGCACAGUAUUAGGACUUACAGACGUUUUAUAAAAGGCUGGGUUUUCGAGAGUCAAGGGACCAGUGUCUGUCGAUUUUCCCAAUUUAACUCCUGUGUUAAAUGGAGACUGUGAAAGGGCUACUCACACUGAAUGUCUUUACUUGGAAUUCCAUUAAUAAAGCGCACGUUUCCCCAGUGAUCAUAAAUUCCCAUUCCUUCUUUGCUUCUGGUUAGCUCUCUUGUCUCUUUCCCAAGAUUAACUGGAGUGUUAGAUUCAGAGUAAUGCUCAUUGGAAGUAUUCAGUAAAUUAAGGAAAAUUUAAAUAUAUGCAUUAAGGCCAGAAAGGGAAAAAAAGUUCCUGGAAAGCUGUGAAUUACCUCCAUCCCCAAACAUAGCUUUUUGAGAAAACAUCGAAUGUGUUUAAUGAGUACUUUGGCAUGCAGAGUUUGUUGUCUCGAUGAGUCAUCAGCGUGCAGUCACAUUAUCAGGGUUCCAGGUUACCCCCACAAGUUAGUCUAGUUUUUUUCUGCUUUUUGUUUUGGUAAAGGUACUAAUCAAAAGUAAAAGGAGACACUCUGAAAGCAUGGGUUAGAGAACUCAGAGCGCCUGGCAGUGUCUAGCUCAAUCCACACUCUCACCCUUAGGAAAUGUCCUGAACCUCAGUGUCACUCAGUCCUUCUGUGUUUCAAAUGUAUGAACUCUUCUUUAAAGAGAAGAUCAUUGCCUCAUCCUCUCAAUCAGCUAAGAAGUUUUCCCUAUCAUUCUGCAGUCUUCCUGAGAUUGAAUUACACAGAUUUCUUAACCUUGUUUACAUUUGUACCCUUGAUCUGUUUAGGGUGACUUUUCAGAAUGGUGUUUACUUACAGUCCUGAGAAGAUGGUGUAGCCCAGGGCAUGGUGAGCAGAGACUGGUGGUGAGUUACCUGGUGCAUCUCACAGGUUAUGCUUUGAGGUUUACAUUCUUUCCCUUUGAGAUUUCCCCAUUGUUGGUCUUGUCAGUGGACCUAAGCUGAGAUAGAGGUAGGAGUGUAUUAUGAGUUUCUUUGCUUGCCAACAGGGCCAAAAGAUUGUGGACAAAGCUUCCUUCCCUUGGCAUAUAAUACCAAUGGUGCUUAUUUCUAGAAAUAAUGCAUUGUGAAUGUAUUACCAUGAAACCAUCUGAACUCGUCUUUAGAAGUCACUUUUCGAUUCAGUAUGAACCCCUGCUGGGUUAAUGAGUUCUCUAAGCUCGCCGCAUGCUUCAUGAAGACUCCUUGCUUUAGUGUCUCAUAUCCCAGGUUUGGGGGUAAUAAGAACUUGAUCAUCAUGUUUUUCAGCUCUCACUCUUAUAGACAAAGGGAUUCUAAUCCUUUUAAGUCUUCUGGGUCUCUCCCUAUCUGGAUCACUGUCAUUUCUCUCCUCUUGACUGUCUGCAGUCUUUGAGUGGUAGGGUCCGAAUUUAAGAUGGAAUACCAGGUGUCAGCAUACUUUAGGUUUGGGUAUUAAGAGGGAAACACUUUCAGUAACUGAGCUGAUUACCAUCAGCUGACAGUUGGCCUUUGGGCUCCAGCAGCGCAUUAGGACGCAGUCUUCAUCGGAGGCUGCAAGUUCCUUUCCUGGGUUCUGACACCCUGUAGCCCAUUGAUCAUCCUCCAGAUGUAAUUUAUACUCGUUUCCCUUUGCCGCCUGCUAUUCCAGUUGCCCACAUUUCGGCUUUCCGCCACUGUUCUGUCUCUUCCCGCAGUCCUGGGGAACCUCCUGCAAUCCGUGUCUUGUCAACUUGGCCUUCAGUUCCCUCUGGUCACCUUGGGUGCAGGACGACUUCUUUUGGGAAGUAGCCUUUGAGGAGCCCCAGCCAGCAGUGGCGGCCCAGACUCCUCACCCGACGGCACCCAGGGGCGCCAGCACCCAGCCUCCUGCCGCUCCGGCCGGGGCUGUAGUCACCAUCGGCCGAUGACUUCAUAGUUCCUUUUGCAAGUGUGGAACCUAUUCAGGCGACUGGGGAGAGUCCUCAGGGGAGGCUGCUGCUUUGGGCUCUAGCGGACACUCAGGAUUUUCCAGCUGUGUUCCUCGACGCUGCUGCUCCUGCGUGUCUAUAAGGCACGCCCUAGGAGAUGCAUUUUGAAAAUGAGAGCUCUCGCUGGAGUCUUUACAGCAAGCUCCCUACAGGAAGAUUUUCCUGGAAACGUACACUGGCAAUCACUCUUCUUGCCUCAGCAAAUCUGCAAAGUUUGUCACGUGCUCUAUAGGUAGCUACUUUGCAUUCAGUAUUUGAUGAUAAGUCUUUCUAGACUGCAGUGAUACUUAGGACGGUAGCCUGCCAGGCUCCUCUGUCCACAGAAUUCUCCAGGUGAGAAUACUGGAGUGGGUAGCCAUUCCUAUCUCCAGGGUCUUUUACGGACCCACAGAUCAAACAACCAGGUCUCCUGCACUGCAGGCAGAUUCUUUACCAUCUGAGCCACCAGGGGAGUCCUUAUAAUUACUGUAUGAUUAAAAAUUCUCUAUCAGUUUCUGUUGUCUGUAGAACUUCUACUUGAUUUUACGUUUUACAUUUUGAGUUAACGCAUUCAUGAGGUUAAAAAUCAACCCAAUAUUAAAAGAAACAUAUUGUUUGCCUUCCACCCUUGCCUUUCUCCCCCUGGUCCCCACUAUCCUCUGUAGAGAGAACCUCUUUUAUUAGAAUUUUGAGUGUUCCAUUUUUGUACAAAUACAAGCACAUCCAAAUAUAUAUUUUUAUAAUCCCUUCUUUCUUCCUCAAAGCAUGUUAUACUCAGAGCUUAUUAUAUCCUCUGUUCUGUACCUUGCUUUUUAAAUUGGAGACUUAAAUAUGAAAAUUCCAUAUCAGUACACAGAAAGCUUGCUCAUUAUUCUUUACAACUUCAUUUUAUUGUAUGGAUGUGCUAUAAUUUAUUUAGGCCAUCCCUAGCGGUGGACCCUUGGGUUGCUGGCAGUAAUUUUCUAUAUAAGCAAUGCUGUUAUAUAUAAAACCUUGUGCACACAUUUCAGAUAUGUGCCUACAGAACUUUAUCCUGUUUCCUUGCCCAUUUCCUUGUAGACCUUAUAAGCUGCUAUAAAAGUUGAGUAAACAUGAUAUUUUUUUUAUUUGCUUUAAUAUAUCCACAAUACUUACUAAAUAGGGAAACAACUUUGUCUUGGACUUCAGGAUGCCCCCAAUCCAGAGUUCUGUUUUUCAUUUGAACCUAACUGAUGCCUAAUUCUUUGUGCAUCUUUAAGUUAGAGAAUUGAGCUAAAAGACAGUGAAUAUAAGCAUUCUACAUUCAUAUGAGUUAGAGUUAAACUUUGUGGUAUUUUGCCAUGCAAUGAAAUAUUAAAAUUUUAAUUAGAUUAUUGGCUACUUUAGAGAAAAGGAAUGAAAGUGUUAUAUUACAGUUUAAGAACCGAGAAUUUAAAUGUAACUGGAUGAGCAACAAAUUAAUGUUAUAAUAGACUGGUCAGGGAGGGUUCAUAACUCUGAUUCUGAAUUCUGAAUUUUAUAGACCUUUUAUAUGUUGUUCUCUAGGUAUUCUUGGGUUCAGAAGUUGCUUUGUGGGUGCAUUUGUAAUUCAUAGCCUCCCAAAGGAAAGGCUAUAAACUUCUCAAGUGAAUAAUUCUGUUUUAUUCUCUGGUUUUUCAUUUUCUGUGUAUUCCUCAUCAUACAAAGAGUCUGUGGGCCAUUAUGAAUCUUGCUAUUUCUAUAUUUAAGCAUAACUAGUUUUCCCAGAAUGUAAUUUCCUCUAUUCAUGGAUAAAUUCAGUUUACUGCUUACCAUCUGUCCUUUUGGAGUAUUUAGUAUCCCACUCAGUUUGGUGUCAGAGCCAGUCACUAUGGAUAAGAUGUUAAAAAUAAGGCAGAGACCAGGGCAAGACUCUGGUAAGGGAAGCUACUCACCUCCUCUGAGCUAAGUAAUUUACAGAGGAAUCUCGACUGUAAAAUGUGAGUGAGUAAAAGCCCCGUGUCUUCCCUCUGUGUUACCGAAAGAUGCAUAGUGGUGAGGCCUGGGAAACACCCACAUGGGGUUUGCAAGGAGCUCAUUCCGUAGCGGAAAUGGUAGAUGUUCCAUGUUAUCUCCUACAUGUAUUACUUUAUGAGUUGCUCUUGUCUUUGAAGACUCUCAAGGGUUAUUAGAAAUGGUUAAAAAAAAUUGUUCAAAUGGUCUUUAAAGAUUUUCUUAUUCAAAAAUAGGAAAAUGACUCUGGAAACUGUUAAGAGGUCUACAUUACCGUCCUGUGACCGUUUGUUCUCUCUAGUUUGUUGAAUACUUCUCUCUGUCUCUCUUUAUUUUUUUCUGGCAGUUCAUUAGGAAUUCUGUUGGGGGAUGCACUUCUAUCAGCACAUUAUCAGCAGCUGAAGAAUUUUCAGUUUUCUGCUCACUCAGUGCUUGUAAAAAUUGAAUAUAUAUCGCUUCCCCUUUAUCAUGUUGAAAAUCUCCGGUUUAUGGUCUGUUGAAAUUCAUCUUGUUAUAUUCAAAAUGCAUCUCCUGGAAGCAGCAACAAUGCACAAGACUUGAGUACACCUAAUUCUCAGUGUUUUUGUUUCAAUUCCUUUUCUACACUUUUUACUUGGAGAUAUUUUGUUUUAAUCUUUCCUUCCCCUCUUCUCUAGCCAAGUUUUUUGUUUGUGAAAAGUCAUAUUUUUCCAAGCUAUAUUCUGUGUGAUACAAUAUGGCUGGGUUUCAAGAUGUUCCUCAGCUCUUGCAUCCAGCUACUAAUUCAGCACUCUGAAAAAAAAACCUAAAUGAUGUUUGUGGUGAUGGGUCAGUGCCAGUGGAAGGAAAUAAUUUUGCAGAAGAUGAAUCUAUUUCCAAGUAAUGUUGGCUGGGUUGAAGCUUACAUUGGAAUUUGUUAGGUUGUCUGAUAGAAAACCAAAUUUGACCAAGACAAGGCUGUGUGUACACUAUCUGUCUUUGUCUCCUCCUGUAUACCUUACGCUGUGUGUGUGUAUAUAUAUUAUACAGGCUAUGAUUUCACUUUGAUAGUUAAUGUUAGGCUUUAAAAGGAUUAAAAUAGUAGCAUUCAUUCCCCUUACUAUAUAAACUUUUUUGGUGGGUGUUUUAAAAAAUAUAUUAAAUCAAAUUUUAUAAUAAUGAGCUAUCUUCUAAAACAGUUUUUUUUGUUGUUUUUUUUUUGUUUAAUGUGUCCGGCUGUUUAACUGUAUUUCAUUUAAUCACUGCGCCAGUUUAAGAAAUGUUAUCAAUCUUAAUUUACAGGUGACAAAAUAAGCUGGGAGAAGUUAAAUAACUUACUCAAGGCCAUUGAAUUAAUAAGUGGCAGAGCCAGAUUUUGGGUCUUGGAGUCUUGCUGUCACUGAUCCAAUUUUUAAUUGAUCUGUCUUAGUGAAGUGCCAGUGAGAUUUCACUUUAAGACUUACUUUGUGCUGGUUUUCUCAAUAUAUAAAAUCUCAGUGGUGACAACAGAUUCCUCAAUAUUUUCUCUUGUCCACUCUGGACAGGGGACGGUGGUGUGGUGUGGACAUAGCCUGCUAGUUACAUAUAUCCUGUUGCUGACACUUAGAGACCAGUUUUACAACUUGAAUAACUUUCUGAACGCUUUGAUGCCAGAGAUUGGGCUCUCUUCCAAAUGAUCAAAAUUAUUAUUGAUAAGUUAAUAAAAGAAAAAGGAAAGACAUCUGUUAUCACUUUCUACUAGGAAAAUCACGUUUUCUUCUAACAAGAUAGUUUUUAAGUAUUAAUAAAAUUGUAGCUUUACUUCUUACCCUUGAAUUUUAUUUCUCAGUCUUGAUUUGACAAGCAGAAGUGGAAAGCAGGAAAUAUUUUUGCCUAGACAACUUAAGAAAAAUAAACAUUUGGAGUGUUGUGAUGAUCUCCUGCUGGCAGCGUAAGUCUUCUUACUUGUUUCCACCUGGAAAUAUAAGUGCCCUUUCCCCCACCUUCACUUUUUCAGGUUGAUGUACCAUUUUCCUUGGUAGGUAACGUGCUUGGGGUAGAGUGUAUCCUCAUUUGAGAGAUUAGGGAAUUGAGGAUUGGAAGGCAUAAUCAUCUUGCGCAUAAUACACACAGCUAGCAGGGGCAAAGCUGGGACUCACAUUUUGGUCUGUUCGUCCAGAAUCUUAGGCUUUUGAUCCUGGUGCUGUAGUGUCCAGGCUGAGGGGCGUGGUGUGACUUGUGGCAUUGUGGGGGCUAGGGUGCUCAGAAGCGAGUCCUGCUCUGAAUAAGUGUUACAGUUUUGGAGAGAGUGGAGUUUAUAGUAAAGUAAUUUUAUUUUCCCUGCGCAUCUUCCCUAGAAUGAGUUACCGCUGCUUUUUCUGUACAGGGUAUUUAUUGAAUGAUGAGUUUAAAAGGGUACAUGGUGAUACAUAACAGCCGAUCUUCGUGUUAAUGGUAUAGUUAAGCUUUUUAUGAUCGAGUGAGGUGAUUUUGAUUAUUAGGGUCUGGUCCAGGCUUUGAUCAGACAUAUCCAUUUCAUAAUAAGCCCCCAGUUGUGUAGUGAGUUCUGCCUUUUAUUACACUGUACAGAGUAAUUCCUUUGUAAAGAAUGACUGACUUUUCUUCCUCUUAGGAAGAUUAAUAGUUUUUCACUAUUAAUGAGGUUCCAUCUGCUCAUCUGGCCUUCCACUCUAAAGGUUAUACUUAUUACCAUAUUCAAAAACCAAUCCAACUGUGUAAUCAAAGUUAAAAAAAAAUUUUUUUUAAACCAAAGGUUCAAUCUUGGUUUUUAUAAUGUACUUCUUUGGUUACUAAAGUGGGGAUGGGUAACUCCACUUCCUUCUUUUUCCAUGUUUUCUUGGAUUCCGCUUCGCUGCUGCUUGUCAUCCGUCCACCCACCACAGAUCACACAAAUUAAACUAUAUGAUACGAGAUACAGUACAGAAAGCAAGGGUGCACCCACGCAGCCGCCGUCCGGCCCAGUCUCCUUCGUAUCCAGGGCACGAACGUGAGCCAGGGAGAGCCCCCAGUGCCGUCUGCCUGUGGGAAUCCGAUUCGUGGCCCAUUCCUUUGUGUUCUCCUCCUUUCAAGCGGGGCGCUUCGGCAUCUGCAGCAGAGCCUGGGGGUCCCGCUGCCCGCGACCCCCAACAGGGCAUGUCUCGGGGGCGCCGGGCGAGGGGGCCGGCUGGAAGCUAGCAGGCCCUGACUGCGUAGCUAAAAAUAUGAAUAAAUGAAGUUCCAUACCACAAAUGGAGUAAAGUUUGAUGAUAGGGGAUUACUGGAACAUUUUAUUAACUGGGGUUUUGCUGUAAAAAAAAAUUAGCUUUUGAAAAAAGUUCAACCUCUGAGCCUCUGUGGAAGGGUUUGGCCGGGGAUGGUGGUGAUGACGGCCGCUGGCACGGUUAUGCAAACCCUGCGCCGUCACACCCUGCAGUCACCGAGCUCAUUUUUCCUUUUUACUCCCCUCCCCUCCUGCCCCCACCCACCUUCCCACUUCCCUUGCCUUUCCCUGCCUUUUCAGGCCCACCCCUCAUUAUCAGCCUGGGGUAGCGCUGCUGACUCAUCCAAUCUCAUGGUUUGGAAGGUAACGACAAAUGAGUGUCAGUACGCAUAAUCUUUAACAGUCCACCUGACUUUCCAGGUUGGUCUUUGAUAAAAAGGUCCUCACGAUCGUCCACUGUCACAAAUGCUGUCCUUUUCAGUACAGGUGAAGCAGGUUGUAGCAACAAGGCAGAUACACCCAAGCUUCCAGUAUGAUUCUAAACAAGACGCCCUUUCUCCAUUCAAGUGUAAUUUUUCCAAGGGCCAGUAAUGAAACGCAGUGAAAGCGCAAGCACAUACCUUGUUCUGCCUGAUCCUUUUUUACUAAACAAAUAACCUUUUUUUUUUUUUUUAAAGAAACAAGGGCUCUCUACUAGGCAGAAUAUAAUUCUAGUUUAGUAGCUUUACUUAAAAAAAAAAAACAAACUGGAUUAUAAAUAACUAAAGGAUAUUCAGGUGGAAAGAGUGUGCCGGCUGGGUCAGGAGAGGGAUGAGCCAUGAGCUGUCCUGGGAGACCUAGGGUAAGUUUGUAAUCACUUGAUGAGGAGGGGGUCCUUUUACAGCGGCAGCCUGCCUUUCAUUCAGCAUUGUCUUUUUGGUUCUGUUUCUUUUUUUCCAUUUACGUCUCCUAGAUCUGUGGUUCUCAACACUGGCUGCACGUUUAGAAUCCACUUGGGGCUGGGGAGAGCGUGCUGGGACCCCACCCUUGGAGAGUCCCGGUGUGAUUGGCAUCAGGUUGGUGUCAGGUGAGGCCAGAGGUGGUGGGUUUGCUGUCUCUCCAGGGGAUUCUAAUAUGCAGCCGAAACAGGAGCUGUUGGCCGCGGAGGUUGACCAGCAGUCUGAAUAAGUGGGCACGCCUUAAAACUGCAAAGUAAGUGGGGUUUUGAGUCAGAGACCGAGCAGUUUCCCCACUGAAGUCUCAGCCUUCUCGACCACUUGUCAUCGAGCAGACUGGCUGGAAAUCUCUGCUUCCAGAGGGAACAGAUGUGUUCUCCUGAUGCACAGCCACUGAAUGGCUCGAUGCUGAAGUCCGGUUCUCGGCUAGGAAGAGGCGCAGCCUUCUAGAACAGUCUGGCCUUGCUUUGACAGUCACGGAUGGAUGAUUGACGCAGGGAGUGUCAUGUAGAUACAUCUGAUGGAUCUCUUGCCCCAGUCAGGGUCCCUCAGCCACUCUCAGAGCUCUUUCAAACCUGGUGCCAAUGUACAUCCUUGGACAACAAGGAAUUUGCACAGAAACUGCUAACAAGGGGCGUGAACAGAGGCCACAUGCUACAACUUCUUCUGGGGGCAGUUUCCCACUUCCCUUGUAAAAUUUUUCACUGCUGGUUUCGUGAAAUGUUAACAGAUUUUGCUUCAUUGAUGUUUUUUCUUGUGGCUACUCAGAAAAAUGCGUCAAAGAAGCUUGGUUUAUUCCCGUCUGCACUGUGGCUUAUGGGCUGAACUCAUUCACAGGAAAAAUGGCAGAGGGCUCCCUGGCUUGUUUUGGUGGAGGCAUUAGAAAGCCUGAUGGUUUCAUCACAGCUGGAGAUGUCCCUUCACCUCCCUAGCUGUAGACUGCUGCUCAGCACCUACUGUUCGCCUAUGCUGAUGGGUCUGUAUGGAAAAGGCCCUGUCUCCUCUCUGAGGUCCUUCCCUUCUACAGGGUUUCUGUCUCUACAGCUUUUUGGUAGGAGUAUGAGUGGGGGUCCCCUGACCCCCAAGGAGUUUAGAGUUUAAAGCCAUCUAAAAGAAGUCAUAUCAUUGGUUUGCCUCAUUUCCUGUAUUCAAGGCUCAUUUUAAAUAAUUCUUUGUGUGUGGUCAGAUUUUCUAGUUUAAAAAAAAAUGAGAGAAUUCACAGAGUAUUUAAAAUCUGUGUUACAAAUAACCAUGCAUUAUUUGGCUUAGCUUUAUUCAAAAACAAGGGCUGGGUUUACAUUCAUUGAUUGACUUCUUGGUCAGAUUUGUGUACCGAAUGUGUGCUGUGACUUAGUGAAGAUUGAAUGUUUGUAUAAUUGAAGGUCUCUCUACACGAAUGAUUUUUUAAAUGUUGGAAGCCAGAAUUUACUAUGUCUAUGACAUUAACAGUAGUAAAAGUAACUGCUUUGAGAAAUAGGCUGGAAUUUAUGUUGGGCUUGUCUGUCUACUCUGAUUUUUUUGUAAAGUUUGAUCCUUCAUUGAUGCAUUCAGGAGAUCUUUACAGGUGUUAAGCUCUUUGAGCUCUCCCAGGUGUCUCAAACUCAACUGCCAAUAAAGGCCAAGAGGGUUACACAAGUAAGUGAGGAAGAUGGUGUGUUGUGGAGAGAAGUGUGACUGUGGUCAUCUGGAGAGCUCAGGCUCUACUUCACAGGGCAACUGCUGUUCAGCUCUGUGGCUAGACAUGAAUAUUAAUAUGACAGUGUUGCCAGAUGUUAACAUAUUUCUAUGA